GUUUGUCGGAACAUCUGAUACGUUCUCAUACCUGAACGACGUUGACUCAGGCAUUAUGGGGUUGUCUUGCAUCUUGUAUCCAGUGUGAGCUGCAAUGAAUUCAUCUUGUGUCAUGUCUGCAAAUUCAUUCAGGCUUAACUUAAAACUUCUAUUUCCACCAUUGUUGAAGCUCUCAAUGUAUUCCAAAUUCUCUUUGAAUACAUUAAGACGCUUCUCCUUCUCUAAUUUGCUCUCAUAUUUUCGACCAUAAUCAACCAUCCAUUGCUCAUGUUUAUCAACAACAGAGGCUUCAUAGAUUGUUCGGGACAUAGCAAGAGAUGCCAAUGUCCCAAAAAUUAAAAACAAAAAGGCAUGGAUUAAACUCAUCUUGUUGUUUUGCAGUAUAUGGUGGGAUACUACACUAAUUUCUGGGUUUUUUCUUUGCUAAUUGCCAAGUUGUGAAGAACUAGCACUCUAUGAAUGUAUAUAUACUAAAAAAUUGAUUGAAAUGAAUACUUUUUUAAUUAAGUCCAAAUAAAACGCCAAUCAAGUCAAUUUUCAGGUUUACAAUUACAGACAUACCUUUUUUUUUUAUAUAAAUCAACAAAUUAUUAGUGUGGCGUGAUUGACGGAGACAUACAACGUUUUACUUAUUCCUUCAUUGCUGUUUCUCGGUUGGUGGUUGACUUCGAAGUCAAUGUUAACAUUCCAAUUCUCCCAUUACAUGUCCAUUGGGUCUUCAGCUUUUGGUCCAAUAUCAAUUUUUUUAUUGAAGAAAUUAUUUUAAUAAAAUAAUUAACAUUAUUAUUUUUUGUUAAUAUUUAAUAUAUUAUCAUUAGAAAAUUUUAAUUGUAUAAAUAGAUUUUAAAUAUAGUAAUUUAUCUCAUUCUUUUCAGAAAUAUAAUUUUUUAUUUUGAGCGAACUACAUAGAUAGUCACCUAACUAUAAAUUUUGUUAAGCAUCCAAAAUAAAAAAAUUAUAAUUUAAUUACCCACGUUUCAUAAUUUAGUCAUUUUAGUCGCUCCCGUUAAAAUACAAUAACAAGCUAACAUCACAGUUAAAAAAAUCAGUAUAAUAACAAAUUUAACCCUCAAUUUUUAUAUAUUAUAUCAAUUUAGUCAUAAUUUUAAAAAAUUAACUCAAAAUUUAUAAAUAUUCUCAAUUUGAUCUUAAUUCUAAAAAAUUCAAUGAAAUAUAUAAACAUACAUAAAUAAUUUUAUAAAUAAUGAUAAUACAUUUAAAUGUUAUAUUAAUGUUAAAUAAAAAUAAUUAUAUUAAUAUUAUGUUUAUUUAAUACAAUAUUAAUACAAAAUUUUAAUUUAUUAUUAUAUAUUUUGAAAAUAUUUAUAAAUUUUGAGAGUUAAUUUUUUAAAAUUAUGACUAAAUCGAUAUAAUUUGUAAAAAUUAAGGGCUAAAUUUAUUAUUAUACUGACUUUUUUAAUUGCUACGUUAGCUUGUCGUUUGCGAUAGUAACAUGGGUGAUCAAAAUAAUUGAACAAUAUAAUGCGAGUGCUUAAAUUGCAAAUCUUUUAUUUUAGGUGCUUAAAAUAAAAAAAUUAUAAUUUGGUGACAAUCUGUGUAGUUUACCCUUUUAAUUUUUACUACACCUUAAAGGAGUACGUGACACCCUCUAAACUCUGCUUAUAGAAACUAAAAACUCCAUUGUUAAAAAGAAUAUUUUAGCUUCUGUUUAUUUGAAAAAAUGACAUUUUAAUCCCUAUAUAUUAACUUUAUUGUUAAUGGAAAGACAUUGCUUAAAAGUGACAUUAAAUCAAAUAUUAGAUGAAAUUAAAAAGCUUAUUAAACCAAGAUAUUUCGUCUCGUGGAAAAUUUUGGGGUGUUGGCAAUGUAUCAUAAAGUAGUAAUCAACAUGUUAGUGUGGUGUUCCAAUUGUGACAUGGUGAUGAUGGUUAGAAACUUGUGUUGCAAGGAAUAAGAAGAAGAGAAUAUAGUUAAGACUUGAGGCGUGAAAAAACACUUUCCUUUAAUGCUUUUAAGUUUGUCUCUAGAAUACAAUGAAAAGAACAGAACAGUGAAAACAUAACUCGUGGCAUAAGGUAUGUUUUUUUUCAUAACAUAACGAUUUACCAUAAAAUUAUGUUUCUUCAAUUCGAAAACAUUUUAAGAAGAUUAUGUUAUUUCAAUAAAUUAGUUUCGAUGCAAACAAAAUAGUUUGCACCACCAAACUAAAGCUUUAAGCGCCUAAAUUUUGAAAUAUAAAAGUCCCAAUCGGUAGCCCACCUAUCUAGUGGGUUAGGGCCUAACUUAAUUACAUAAAUUAUAAAAAAUUGGUUAUUUAAAUUCUUUAUAUUAUAUGUUUGUUGGUAAUGUGGAUUACAAUCUUGGAUAAAUUUGUAAAAAUUUGAAGUGAAUUAGAAAUUUUGAAGCUAGAAUUUGCAAUUCAUGCACUUUGUAACACCCAUUGUAACACCCAUUGCUCGAUCCUUUCUAACACUCCUUGCUCGAUCCAAUUGCCAUGUUCGAGCAAUAGAAUAUUACAUUCAUUACCGGAGCAACUACAAUUAAUAAUACAGUAAAAUAAUAAUUCAAACAUACAAACAUGUGAUACACAUUUACAAUACGAGACAUAAUAAAAUUCGAGGUUUAAUCAAACUUACGACAGCUUAAUUGUUGACCCAAGCAUGAAAUAAGACCAAAUUGCAAAGUUUUCAAAAUUUCAUAUCAGGUAUCAAUACCUCUUGGAAUACCCCGGAAUUUGGGGUUAGAAGUUUUGAGGUUGUGGUUAGGGUCAUUGAAUAGGUCGAGCACUUGAGUGGGUUUUCACGUUUUAAUAUUAGAAUAAGCUUAUUGGUUUGGUGGUGGUGAGUGUGUUAGUUUACAUUUGGGUUUUGGAUUCAAAUCCUUAUGUGUGUUUUGAGGAUUUAAUUUAUUUUGGUUUUGCUUUUUAAUUUUUAAAGAUUUACUUUUAAAAUUUGAAAGAGAGGUUUUUUAGUUUCACAUUCUUUUCCAUUUCCUUUUCCCUUUUUUUUUUUGUUCCCUCUGUUAUUUUUCGGUUCUUUCCCCAAAUUUCAGUUCUUUUGAUUUAUUGUUUCUUCCAUUUUACACUCACGUUACAUGUUGUCUGUCAAGACUGAUCGUCCUCGUGUGUUUUGUUUUAUCGGAGGUGAAGCGGGUAGGUUUUGUUCAUGAGGGUUUAUGAUAGAAUUGCUUCUGUUUCUAUUAUUCGUUGAUUGAAGUUCUUAUAUUUUAAGUUUAUGUGUGAAAUUGAGGUUUCCGAACAGUUUGAUGAGAGCGAAUCGAUUGAUCCUUGGUGCUUGAUAUUGCGUUCUAAGGUGUGUGUUCUAAAACAGUUUAACUUUGGUAUCGAAUUGCUGUGGGAUUUGAUAAUGUCUUGUCUGUUUAUGAAAUUGGUUAUUUGAAGUAUCGUAUUGUUACUGAAUUGCAUUAAAUUCUAUAUGUUUUGCCAUAAUUCUGGGUUACCAAGGGUUGGGUAUCGUUUCGACAUCAAAAGUAUGAUUUUCAGGCUGUUUCGGUGUGGUUUCGUGACCAUAUGAGUGGCCACACAGGUGUAUGCGCACACGGGCGUUUAACAUUUUAAUAUUAGACAGAUAGUUUAACAUUUUAAUAUACUCAAAAUUUGAAGCACAGAAUUUGAAAUACGAUGAUCUAAUUAAGAAAAUAUAAUAAAUAUUUUGCAAGUGUGUAAACUGGGACUUACCACAGUUACCCUGAGAAAUGGGAGUGACGGUACCUUUCUUCCUCCAAUCGAUGCUCGUUGGAACAUCUGAGAAGCUUUCAUACAUAAAUGAUGUUGAUUGGAACAUAGUGGAAUUGUCCCCCAUCUUGUAUCCAGUAUGAGCUACAAUAAAUUCAUCAUGUGGUCAUAUCUGCAAAUUUAUUGAGACUUAACUUAAAACUUUUAAUUUUGUCAUUGUUAAAACUCUCAAUAUAUUUCAAGUUGUCCUUAAAUAUAUUAAGACGUUUUUCCUUCUCUAAGUUGCUCUCAUAUUUUCGACUGUAAUCAACUAUCCAUUGCUCAUGUUUGUCAACAAUGGCGCUUUCAUUAAUUGUUCGAGACUACAUGACAAGUGAUAAUGUAAAUGUCCAUAAAAUUAAAAACAAAACGCCAUGGAUUAAACUCAUCAUCGUUUUGCAGUAUAUGCAGAGACACAGCACUAAUUUAAGGUUUUUAUUUUGUUUUUGGAAGAGGUUUUUUUUUUUUUUUUUUUUAAUCAUCAUUUAUUCAUUAUAAUGGGUAGAAGAACGCCAAGAGUACAAGAGUGAUAGUUCCAAACAGACCACAGACAUCAACACCAAACGAAAGGGAAAAAAGAACAAAUACAACACAUAUCUUAGACCAUUUAACACUGCUAAUUGAUUAUCGUAACUUACCUAUCAGUAUGCUCGAAAAUUAGUCAAGCAGUACAACCACAUAUAUAUAGGUAGAGAAAUGUCCAUUAUAUGAACUUACAUAACGGGAUACGAAGCUUUCAUGGCGAUACCACAUAAGCCACCUGGUGUAUUCGCGUCCCUUUGAAUCCUAAUAUAUCCUUUUUCACCCCAAGUUUCUCCCCAUGAAUUCUUAACCAGCCAGUAGUUUAAACCUUCUUCACUUGUUCCGUAUCCGACAACGGUGACUGCAUGGGAGAGAGCAUUGCCACAAUCUCCGGUAAACACUCCCCCGCUGUAAAACCGAAAGUCUUGUCCAUGGCCUUCGAUUGCAACUGAGACAGGUUGACUUGCGACGACCUUAAGCAACGCUUCUUCGUCGUUUUCAGGCACCAUUUGAUAUUCAUUGAUGGUGGCAACUUUGUUUAUCUGUUUCUCAGUGUCGCAAGUUUCUUGUGUUUCUUGAUAUGGGUAGCUCUCUUCAGUAGUUAUUCCUUGGUUUCGGAUAACGUAUUCGAAAGCAUUUACCAUUCGUCCACCAUCGCAACCUCUGUUUCCUCCAUCUGUGCUGCAAUCCAACAAUUGUUGUUCAGAUAAUGAGAUUAAACUACCAGUUUUGAUUUGGACUAUCCCUUCAAUGGCUGCCACUGCUGAAAAUGCCCAACAACAUCCUGCAAAGUAAACCAACAAUAACCCUUUGUUAAGUAUAAAACAAUUGCUUCUUGGCUGAGCAAUAUUUAUAAAAUAUUUUAUAGGAGUUGGGUUAGCAUACUAACAUAUUAUAGGGAAAAAUCAAAUACUGACACGUGGUUGUUAAAAAGUAAAUAAGUCUUAUUGAACAAAAUUAAUUUUUAUAUAUUGACUAAUAUUAUUUAUGUUAAUACAACAUCACAUAUGAUGGUUGAAUUAAGCAAAUAUAUUGCAGAUAAUUAUUUCCUUUCUACAAUGAUGUAAAAUUAAUUAGGGUGAGUUUGGAUGGGCAAUUGGGUGCUGUGUGUUUAACUUACUUUUUGUCUCAUACUACAGUAUUGUUACAGUAUCUAAUCUCACCGUCACUGUUAUUUUUAUAAUAACGGCAGGUAAACGCACCACCCAUCCAAACUCACUCUUAACUUUAUAGUAAUAUAAGUGAAUUCCCUACAUAUAUAUAUACACUAGAUUUUGAGAUAUCUAUGAUGUCGAUGAAAAAUAUUUAUGUAAAAAAUAUAUUAACUAAAAUUUUAUAUAAAAAUUAAAUAAAAUUUUAAUUGAAAUAAUGAAAUUAAAGGUUUAAAAACUAAUGCUUUAAGCUUAAAUCCCAUCAUGUGUACUUUUAAUGAUUUUAUAUAUAAAAAAACUCUCGUAAUAAUACAAGUUAGAUUGUAAAAAGAUGACUUUUUAAUUAGUUUCGACUGCAUUUGUGUUCGAUUCAUUUGUAACAUUAACUUAAUCGAUAGUUGUAUGUAAAUUGAGACUUACCACAUUGACCUUGAAACUUAACAGGAGUGACAGCACCUUGGACCCUCCAAUCCAAGUUUGUUGGAACAUCUGAGACGUUUUCAUACAUAAAAGAUGUUGAUUCGGACAGUGUGGGAUUGCCUUGCAUCUUGUAUCCAGUAUGAGCUGCAAUGAAUUCAUCUUGUGUCAUGUCUGCAAAUUCAUUGGGACUUAACUUAAAACUCCUAUUUCCGCCAUUGUUGAAGCUCUCAAUAUAUUCCAAGUUUUCCUUGAAUAUAUUAAGACGCUUCUCCUUCUCUAAUUUGCUCUCAUAUUUUCGAUUAUAAUCAACCAUCCAUUCCUCAUGUUUGUCAACAAUGAAGGUUUCAUGGAUUGUUCGGGACAUGGCAAGAGAUGCCAAUGUCCCAAAAAUUAAAAACAAAAAGACGUGGAUUAAACUCAUCAUUGUUUGGCAGAGAUACUACACUAAUUGAAAGGUCUAGCACUCAAUGAAUCUAUAUAUACUACAAAAUUUGAUUAAAAUAACUAUUUUUAAUUAAGUCAUCUUAUGAAAAAUCCAAAUAAAAGGCCAAUAAAAUAUUUAAUUUAAAUAAAUAUUUUUAAUUGAUUAACCCUACUACAAGUUUGUUUGUGUUUGUUUUUCUUCCUUGAUUUGAAAACAUUCAACACUCCCAUUAUGUUGAGGGUAAAUUGCAUAAUAGUCACCCAAUUAUUAAUAAAUUUCGUUUUUAGUUACCCAACUAUGAAAAUUUAUAAAAUAAUCACUCAACUAACAAGUGAUUAUUUAAUUUAAAAAGUCCACAUUUGACUUUCAUUACUGAGUUGAUGAUAACUAACAAGUGAGGGACUAAAAUAUUUAAUUUAAAAAAAAUUGACUAAAUAAAAAAUUUUAAUAGGUGGGUGACCAAAAUAGAACUAAGUGCAUAGUUGGAUGACUAUACUUUUAGUUUACCCAUUAUUCAUAGUUGCUGACAUUCAAAAUUGACAUGGAUUAAAUUGCUCAGAUUUUUUAGAGGGACGAGCUUACUCAAUUUCUCGUAGACAGUUGUGGUUUUUAUAAUUUCUUUUUAAAACUCAAAAAUAAAUUGUAAAAACUUGUUUUUAAAAUGAUUUUUUUAAAAAUAAAACCAAUUUGAUUAAAGUGUUGCAAUUGAUAAGGGGAAAUCUCAUUACUUUCGCCUACAAUUAUUUUAAACAUAGGUUAACACGUAAUUUGGGGAGGAACUGAGAGAAAAACUUAUUAAACCAGAGUUAAAUAUUCAUCCCUUCAUUGCCGUUUUCCAUUUGUAUUGGUGCAUGCAAACACUUCACUUGGAUUUCACUAUCAACCUUCCAACUUCCCCACUAUGUACGAUUAAAAUAUCACACAAGUGAAGAGAUAUUUUAAAGGAGAAAAAGAUUGUUGGAAAAAUAUCCACCUAACAAAGUUAAUCUAAAUAAAAAAAUAUCUAAUUUAAUUAAAAUUUAUUGAGCUUUAAUUAUUAAAUAAAAUAUGAAUCAAAUAUUAAUUUCAAACUGAUAAUGGGCUGAUUAGGAAUUAAAGUUAACGUAGAUUUAACUUUUUUAAAUUACUUAUCUACUAAUUUAAAAGAUUAAAACCACAAAAUUCAAAGAUCUCAUAAAAUCGAUAGAUUUAAGUACGCUUUUGUAUUUAAUUUUGUUCUUGACUAAACAAAUUUUACUUUAUUAAAUUUUGUAUCUUAACAAAGAUUAAUAAAAUUGGAAUUUGAAACAAUUAAUAUUGGCGAAUAAACUAGAAAAGAAUUUAAAUAAAAAAAUUUGGAGAAUAACGUGACGACUUAGAAGGUCUUGGUCCGUGGGGAUCACUCACAACUUGUUAUGGUUUAAAAACAAUCUCACCAUUGAAUUGUUGAGUUGACUGACCUGUUAGAUUUUGCGCUUGUCCUUGUCAUGAAUUUGUCUUUUUAAGAGAAGGCUAGAAAAUUAAAAAUAAAACAUAGAAACGAGUACCCAGGUUAAAAUUCAUGGAAUUAUAUACGUGAAUUUUCUAGUUUUAUCACAUGUACGAGUUUUUAUUCAGUUUAUCAGUUUUAGGUUAAGACUGUAUUAAUUCUUAAUCCGUUUAUAUUGUAAUAAUUUGAUUCUUCUAUGUGAUUACUUGGACAAUUUAUUUGGGUUAUAAUAAUUUGAUACUUAUAUGGUUUUAGUCAAAUACUUUGAUUGUAUUACACUUGUAACACUUAUAGAAAAAUCAACGAAACUUUAAUUUAAUGAUAAGGUUAAAGUCUUAAAAUGUUCGAGAUUUCAAGUUUAAAUCUCAUAAUUUGAGUUCUUAUACAUUUUAAUAAUUAAUUUUAAUUGUAACUUAUAAUUAUAUUUUAAGCUGUUAAAAUUAUAUCAAGUUAUUGAUGUAAUUCAGUAUAAUUUCUUUAAAUUAGUUAGUAGUUUGGACUAUAGACUAUCUUGUAAGAAAAGUCAAAUUGGGUAGUCAAAUGUUAUAAUAUAGCAAAAUACCGAUUGAGAAAAAUCAAUUGGAAAAAUUCUCUCAAUUUUUCAUCCAUCUUGGAUCAAAAUUCAAAGGUAUCAACCAAUUGAAUCCCUUGGUUUGUAGAAAUUGGAUCAAUAUGACAUUGAAGACAUAUCUCUAAUAGUCCACUUUACAUUGGUCUUUAUUAUUAUAUUAUAUUCUAUUUUUAUAUAUUAGUUGUUGUUUUAUAGGGAUUCGAAAGUAAUUUACCUUUAUCUUUACAAGUCUUAAAUUUCGCUUUUGUAAGUUAGAAGGAGGUACUUUUUAUAGCACUGAUCUGUUCUUUGAGGAAUUUAUAUUUGAGAGUGCAUCGAAAGUGUAAAAUAAGUUUAUUAUCAUAUCGAAGUGUGAUGGGCUUAAGUCACUUGUUGUUUUGAGAAUAAAGAUGAUAAAAUUUACUCAACAAAUUAAUAUUCACAAAUGUAGGGAGAUCGAAUUGUAUAAACAAUUUUACAUGCCCUAUUUUUAAGUGUAUAAACUAAUUUGGUUAAUUUUAAGUGUCCGGGCCUAAUUCCCUAAUUCCCCCCCCCCCUUAAUUUCUAUCCUUUGAUAGUUGGGUGAUUGGGAUGACUUAUUUAUUUUGGAAGCUUUAUUAGAAUUUCGUCUCAAUGAAAAUUUGUCCUAUAGGACAUGCUUUCAGUUAUGUCAGCUAUAGGACGUGUUUCGGUAUAAAUUAACAAUUCAACUUUGUUGGUUAGAUGGUUAAAUAUUAAUAUUUUUGUUCUUAAAUUUCGUGUUCGAUUCGUCUUCUAUUCAAGGACAAAAGUAUUAACAUUUAACCAUCUGAUCAAAAGAGUUGCGUUAUCAAUUUUAAGGAUGCGUUUUCAGCUAAUAUGACUGCAAGCAUAUCCUGUAGGCCACGUUUUUCUUUCUUUCUCUAAAAACAACACAUUUUUUUUCUUUUUCAGCAUAUAUACGUAAAUUAGCCUUUUAAACCAUACUUGAGUAUCAAAUAAUAUUUCAGUAUCUUUUAUAGGAAAUGUUCAAAUCAAAUAACUAAAAAGAGAAUAAAAAACUCAAAUGUAAAAGGGUUGAUGAGAUUAUUCAUAAAUACGAAAUUUGUUUUUAUAAAUAUACUUACAUAAAUACAUAAUGGAUGUGACAUAGUUGAUGUUUGUAUUUAUUUUUCAUGUGUAGCACUAUCAAAUCUACUUGCACCAAAAUUCUAACCCAUACGAUAAUUCAUUACCUUAAUUGGCGCAGCAAAUAAUGAGAAAGCUGGAUUUGUGCCCAAAAUUUUAUUAUUUUCCAUUGUGUGAUUGGAUGACAACUUCCAUCCCUCCAUGCCUCAAAUAUCUAAACAUACAUUGAAAUCAAUUUUUCUUAUAUUCUUAAUUCCUUUACUUCUUAACAAUUCUCCCUCUUUGUCUCAGAUUUAUGUAUAAUUUAUCAAUUCUUAAAUCUAAAAUCUUAAUAUUACUUACAUCAAAUAUUCAUAUAUAAUGUGCCUCGAAAAUAAGUUUUAUAUACCAAUAACUAGUUCACUUUCAAUGUAAGGAUAUAAGGCCCAUUUAUUUUAUUAGACCCAUGUUCAUGACUGAUUUUAAUAUUUUUGUUGACCCGUUUUUGUAGUGGUUAUAAUAUUAGGGUUAUAAUAUUCAAAUUACAUAUAUGUAAAUUUUUUAACUGUUCAUCUUUAGAAAAGAGAUAUAUUAAAGAAGAGUCGCCACUAACCAAUUAGGGCUAGGUUGGUAAGCCACCUAUCAUUUAAAAAUCUAGAAUUAAUACUUUGAAAAAAUCCUAAAAGUCUAGACUCGAUCUCAUCACCAAAUUUUGGGUUCGGGAAUAUGGUUACAUAUGGUGAAAACUAUAGCACCCCCACAGCGCCUAUCCGGGGGAUAGUCCUACGGGGUCAUAAAGGUAGAAUUUUUUUUUUUAGUUAAGCAUUAAAAUCUUAUGGAAAUUUUAAAUAAAAACUCUAAAGAAAAUGCCUCUGGUUUACUUGUAACUCAAUUAAGAUGUGUUCACAAAACUUAUCUAAUUUGAAACUUUAAUGAGAGAUUUUUAAUUUUAACGGGAACCUAAAGGAUACCUAAAUAAAUAUAGUAAAAUAUUUUUAAUUCCUAAAAUUAAUUCUAUUUUAGAAUUCUAAAAAAACCUAGAAAUUACCAAUAAAAUAAGAGAAAUAUUAAAAUCCAUCUACAACUUAUUUGAUCUUUUAUUAUUAUUAUUUAAAAGAUUUAAUUAAUAACAUUGAACCUAUCAAGAUUUACGAAAGUAUCCUAUGCCAGGUUUAUGAUCUAUCUUACUUUAAAAUUCUUUAUCUAAUAUUUAAUUUCGUCAAAAUCCUAAAAUAAUAUAUCUUAAAUAAUAUUUAUUAGCUUUCUUAAAAAGUUUCUAAAAUAAAAUACUUAGAAAGACGUACUCAUGAUUUACAAUUCACCUACAAAAAUCUUUAAUUUUAAUCUUGAAUAAAAUCCUAAAGAAUAUUUACAUAUUAAUUUAAGAUUCUAGUUUAAAACACUAACAAUAUCCUACAUAUUAUUUAUAAUUUUUCUAGGGUAAAUGGUGGAUAAGAUCUUAAGGACUAGCCUAAAUCCAAAUGUAAAACCCUUAUGGUUUCAUUAAAAUGUAACACCUAUUUAACUAACUUCAUGUCAACAAUUAUAGGAUGGAAAAAUGACCUAAAGUUCCCUCUUUUAAAACGAAUAGUAAUAAAAUAGGAAAAUCAAUUAAAUUGGCUAAAGUUAAUGAAAAGUUAAAACUCUUCCAAAAUGGCAAAAAUAAAAAAGAAAGAUUAAAUAAAUGAAAUAAAUAAGACCUUACCAUGAUGAUAUUAAUAAUAACAAUAAUACACAUUAUUCAUAAUACAAUAAAAGAAUCAAAGUAAUAAAUUUCGGAUGAAAUCGAAUAUUUGAAAAAAUCAAAAGGUUACGGGUGUAAAUAUGCCAAAGAGUGAGGGCGGCGUUGCAAGAAAUGGGGUAUUUUUUGUAAAUUUAAAAAGUAAGGGGUGAGAAUAAAUUACCCAUUUUUGGCACCUAUAAAUAAAUAAAAAACUAUUAAUUCUUUCAUUUUAACCUCAUUUUUUUUCAAAAAAAAAAUCUUCCUCUUUCUCUUCCUCCUUCUAUGUUGGCCAUGGCUCUACCACCAGAGAGCCCAACGACUCUCUGGCCUCAGAUGGUGGAGCUGUCGCAUACGAUGGUCGAGUUUUUUUUUUUUGCAAAAUUAAAGUUUUGUUUUUAAAAAAUCGUUACUUUUCUUACAAACUGAAACUUUAUUUCAAAAUAGUUGAAAAAUAUCAAAACUUUGUUUUAAAAAAUUUAAACUUUUCCUUUAAAAUAACUAAAAAAUAGAUUUUUAUAUUAAAAAUCUAAACUUUCUCCUUUUUUUUAAAAAAAAACCCUAUUUUUCUUGAAGUUCAAAGCUUUCAUUUUGAAAUAGUUGAAAAAAUAAAAAAAUUUGUUUUAAAAAUUUAAACUUUCCUUUUAAAAAGACUGAAAAAACAUAUUUUUAUUUUUUAAAAUCUAAACUUUCUUUUUUAAAAAAAAAUUAAAACUUUUCCCAAGAUCAAACUUUUGUUUUUAAAAAGAAACCUUUAUUUUAGAAAUGGGAGGGAAAAAACAAGAUUUUUGGGGCUCCUAGGGGGUGGAGGAUCGACGGUCCGGUGACAUCCCCUUCAUCGGAACCCAAAACCCGAUCCUUCAUGAGAUAUCUAUGGCCAAAAUAAAAUAGAAGAAAACAAGAGAUAUAGCAUGCUUGUUGUUGUUGUUUUACCCUUUUUUUAGAACAAAAAUAUGAAAAGCCUUCCCCUUUUUUCAUUUUCAUUUCAUGUUUAUAUAUUGUUUUUUAAUCUUGCUUAUUUGUAGAAAAUGAUGAUAAUAAUAAUAUUUAUUAAUAAUAAUAGAAGUAGUGAUGAUAAUAAUAAUUUGAGCCCUUGACAAGCCUAAAAAGGAAAGAAAUAAGUCUCAAAUUGACCAAAAUUAAAUGGGCUUCAAACGGCCCAAGAGAGAACAAAAAUUUAAAUGGGCUUCUAAUUGGACUUGGACAAGAUGGGUGUCUACAACUGUUGCUCUCACUGUAGAUACACACUCCAUUAUCCAUCAUAUCCAUUUUUCUCCAAAUCCCAUCUUGAAUAAAACCAACUCCAAAAAAUCCCACCGAACACAGUCAUAUGCUUUAUAAAAAUCCAAUUUGAAGAUCAGAUUGCCCCUUCCUUCUUUCUCCUUAAUCGAGUGGAUUAUUUAUUUUUCUAUUAAAAUUCCAUCAAACAUUUGUCUUCUUCUAAUGAAUGCAAAUUGAGUAUCGCUCACCAGCUCUCUAAUGACCUCCCUUAUUCUUUGAGACAAUACCUUACAAGUCAAUCACAACUCACAACAGGUGAGUAUGGCACAGUACAAUAAUUCAAAUCAUAUUCCAUAUUACUAUUAUUUCAACUUUCCGAAAACACUUAUACUUGGAUAAUUCACAUCAUCAAGAUGCCAUAUGAUAAAUGAUCAUAAACCAAGUCAUAGUUCUAACAAUAUAUCAUUUUAGGUAAUCAAAAGGGUAUCACUCAUUCAAGUUAACAUUUAUAACUUUAACUGACUCACGAUGCUGCUCACACAAGUUUGAAAGAAUCCGCAACACAUGUAGGAUCUCAAGCCAUCGCUACGGUCUAUAUCACAGGUAAGUACCUGCUAAAUAAUCACACCAGCCCACAACCUACUAUUUAGGUACACCACGUACUCAUCAUACUCAUUUAUUAUUUAUUCUUUAAGCAUUCAAUGGAUAAUUACAACAUUAUAUCAAAUUCUAAUAAAAAAUGUAGUAUGUAAGAAAUCAUUAUAAACAUAAAAAUAAUAGCACGAGCUUACAAGACUAAUUUGCUGCAACAGCCAAAGUAUAGGGACUACUCAACUACUUUGUCCUUUCCACGGUUAUCAACACGUUCUUAAUCUAAAAUAAUAAUUUCAUUCAAUUAACCAACACCAACAACAAAAUUAACUUAUCUUGUGCUAAUAAGUCCUUUUCGACAUGUUUACGAAAUUACCCCCAACAUUUUAUUUUUAUGUAAUUUAGUCUCUAAGCUCAAAACAUGCAAUUUAACCAUAUGAAAGUUUACUUCAUUAACUUAUCUUGGCAUUACACUAAUUUAGGAAUCAAAAUACAUUGGUACAAACAGAGCAAUCCUUUGACAUCUUGCACAUUUAUUUACUUUCACAAAUACAUCAAAUACGUUAGUUUGAUUAGGAGCCAUAAGCUUAAAACAAAUUCAUAUAGUGAAAUAAAAAUUCAUCUUAUCACAUAUACUAACCAAAUCAUAUUCAAUUUGUAACACAUAAUUUCAUUCAUAUACAUAUAUAUUUAUUCCAAACAUAUUGAUUCCAUUUAGUACCAUUUUCAUUUCUAUUUUUCGCCUAGAAAACUGAAGUAAAAUGAAAUCAGAUACAUGGGAUUGAUUUGCUCACACAAGUUUUAAUAUUCAAAUUUUCUCACACGAGCUAUGGUAUUUGAAUUUGCUCACACAAGCUGUGAUAUUUAGGCUGCUCACAUAAGUUGUAGGUCAAGUUUACUUUUGCAACUUUAUUCGAGACUGCUCAAUCAAGCUGUUAAGAAUCCGCAACACAUAUUGGAUCUCAACCAUCAAUAAAGAAACCCCUGAACAAUUCCUUAUUUCUUUUUGAACCUUAAUGACAUGCCAUUCGUAUUCUAAUCGUUUACUAAGUUCAUACAGGUACCAUUAUAGUUUCUGUAUCAUUUCAAACUUGUAAUCAUAUACAUACUGUUCAUAUUUUUUUGAAUAGUAAUCUAUAUACCUUUUAAACCUUGUAACAUCAUCACAUACAUACUAUUCAAUUACAUAAUUGUUCACAUCUAUUCAAUACCAUGUACUUAAUCAAAUUUAUCAUUUAAUUUGUAUUUUAUGGUUUGGUCCAUUUGAUACCAAAAACAUCAUAUUCAUAACAAUUCAACUAGAAAAUUAAACAAUAUAACACAAACAUAUUAUGAAUUAAUAAAGUAAGUCCUGUAUGAACUUACCUGGAAAAACAACAAGCAAACAAGACGUCGUGGACUAAUCCACAAUUUUGUCUUUUCUCCAAUUAUCUUCUAAUUGAUUUAAUUCCCGAUAUAUAUGAUAAUUCAUUUCAAUUUAUCAAUUCCAAACAUCUUAUAACAGCCUAUUUUAAGCAUAUAUUAACUCAAUUUUAUUUUUUGAAUGCUUCCUAUAGUUUUUAUUUUAUUCAAUUUAGUCCUUAAAAUUGAAAUAAACAUAACUUUCACCUUUAAGCUAUGUUUUUCAAUCCAAUUUCAAUUUCAAUUUCAUCCUUCUAUAAUUCUCUUUUAUCUAUAUUUAAAAAAAUUCAUGUCAAUUUUGAAUUAUUUACACUUUAGUCCCUAUGUUCAAAACUAACAAUUUUCACUUUACAAAGUCAUUAUUUUUCAUAUCUAAGCUUAAAAUCUAACUAUUUAACACUAAAGUUUCAAGCAUUAAUUAAUGGCAUCAUUUAUAAACUUUAAUGGUUUCAAAAAAUUAACACACAAGCUAGCUAAACAAGCUCAUCAGAAUUCAAAAACAUAAAAUUACAAGAAAAUGACUAAAUUGAGCUCACCAAUUGAGAGACUUAAGCUUGGGACUCCAUGGUCGAAUUCCUUCUCCUCAAAAAUGGAGUUUUUGGUGGAGAAGAUGGAAUGAGAAAAAAAAUGUUCUCUUUCCACCCAGUUUCAUCUUUUAUUAGUUUUCUUUAUUUUAGUUAUGUUCAUAUUUUAAUUUUAAUAUAAUUUCUAUAAAAAUCAUGCUAAUUACAUAUAUUAACCGUCCACCGUAUUAUAAAAUUAUCUAUUUACCAUUUUAACCUUGAUUUAAUUAGCAAUUAAGUCUUUUAGUAAUUAUAAGUCUAUAGCGAUUAAAUUUUACUAUUUUUACGAUUUAGUCCUUAUACCUUAAUUAGUCACUAAUUUGACAAAACUACCUAUCCAAAAUUCAAUUUACCUAUAUAAUCACUUCAUAAAUAUUUAAUAAAAAUAUUACGAGUUUAGUUUUACGAAAAUGAGGUCCCGAUAUCUCAUUUUUGACACCACUAAUUUUAGGGUCAUUACACUUGUACCUUACUUAACUAUCCAUUCAAUAAAAUUACUGGACCAAAAAUCAAUUUAACACUAUAAUAGACUCAUAAAUAUUAAUUAAUAAUAUUUACUGGCUGAAUCAUUGGAAAAAGGGAUUCCGAAACCAUCGUUUUUUAUACCACUCAAAAAUGGGUUGUUACACCAUUUCAUUCAUGCCAUGUUUUAAUGAAUGAUUCAUAUAGUAUUUAACCCAACACAGAUUCUUUCAUAGCAUAGUUCCUAACAUUUUCAUACAUACAUACAUACAUACAUACAUACAUACAUUUCAUUUCCAUUUCUUUUACUAAGGCGUGCAAGAUUCUAAAUUACCAUAAUAUUAAUAGAAACAAAUUUACCCAUAUCAAUUUCUUUAUAACUUACUUAGAUCAUCACCUUAUAACCAUAUUUUUCCAUUCCAUUAUUAAUUCUUAUCAUAUCUCUGGUUGACGCCCACUAUAAUCUCAAUAAAACAACAAACAGACACUAUUGGAAAUCCAUAUACACCAAAGAGCACUGAGGUGCUAUGCUCGAAGGAAACAUCUAACUCCAUAUAUCAUAAGGGCUUUCGAAGAGGUAACAUGAGUCGAAUGGUCAAAAAGAAAUGCUCGACCAAAGGUAACACAAUAGAACUCCAAGAACAUAUCACAUAAAUCCAAAGCCCACAUAUCUCCGGUACAAAACUCUAAUGAAACAUAAACAUGAGACCCUAAUUGGCAUGUUAACCGUAUCCUAACCUUUCUAGUAAGCUUACAAAGACUUAAAUGUUCAUAACAAUGAUUUAUGGUUCAUUACACCCAUAACAUUCCCUAAAAAGUGUCAUAUUGAUUCAAUUUCAUAAUAGAAGGUUCUUAGACCUCACAUGUUCAAUAUCUUUUUUCACAUUGUCAUUGUCAUCUUUCCAUUAUUAUAUUAUAGCAUAACAAAAAUUAUGAUUUUGAUAUAGAUUAUAAUUAUAUAUACUUUGUUGUGUUUAAUUGCUAAAUUGCUAAACUUUGGUUAAAUCCAUGCAUCUAGGGAAUUUUAAACUUAAUAGUGGACUUGUGAUGUGAGCCAAUUUGGGAGCUAUCAACUUUAUGGACUUAAUUAAGAAGGUCUAAAUUUGGAAAGGACUAAGAUGGUAAUUAUGCCAAUUUGAAUUUGAAUUUCACUCAAACAUUAAAUGCGACAGACUUGUUUUGUUUCGUUAGGAUUGCUUUACUAUUUAUUAGGUUUACUUUUAGGGUCCGUUUGUUUACAUAUAAAAGGUUUUACGAAAAAUAUUUUUUUGCAUUUUCCUGUGUUUGUUUCACAGAAAACAGCUUGGUCAACGAAAAAUUACUUACUGCUCAACGGAAAAUAAGCCUUUUCCUUGUAAAAUGAUUUACCCUUUUGAAAAGUGUAAGUCAUUUUCCAGAAAAGAGCUACUCAAUAGAUAAUUUUACUUUUAUAGAAAAAUUAACUUAAAUCAAGUUUAAUAUUAUUAUGUUGAUAAUAAUUUUAUUAUUUUUAAAAAUAUUAAAAAUAUUAAUAUAAAAUAUUAUAUUUUUAAUAUUAUUAAACAUACAUAUUUAAUUAUUUAUAUUUAGUCAUAUAAUAAAUUAUUAAUAUAAUUAAUAUAAUUUAUUAUUUUUAAUAAAUUAUUUAAUAUUUAAAUUUUAUUUUAAUAUUAAAUUUUAAAAAUAAUAAUUUUAAAUGAUAUUAUUCACAUAUUAUUGAAAAUAUCAAUAUUAAUAUUUUAAUACUAAAUAUUUAUUACAAUUAUAAAUAUAUUAAUAAUAAAUAUUUUGUAGUAUAAAUGUUAAAAUAUGUCAUAAGUCUAUAUACUCUUCACAAAUUUGAAUUUAGUUUCUGUACUUUUAUUUUCAAGAAUUUAGUCCCUCUACUUUCCAGAUUUAAAAAUCAAGUCCAAUUGCUGACAUUGUUGAUUUUUUUUGUCAAUUUUGUUAAAGUCACAUUUUUAAAUAAAAAAAUACUCAGUUAGUAGUCAUGUAGCUAGAAAAUAAUCGUUGCAAUGUACCUAAAUUUAACAAAAUAUUUUUAAUAUAUGUAAAAACAAUGUAAAAUAUAAAAUUAUAGAUAUAAAAUAAAUUGAAUUAAAUAAUAAAAAAAUAAAAAAAUCUCAAAUGUAUGUUUGUUUAAUUGAAAACGACUUUUAUGAAGUAUUUUUAAAGAACCUGCCAAACAAAAGAAAAUAUUUUACACAGAUUCAUCCAAACGCCAGAAAAUAUUAGCUUUUCUAAAAAAGUAAAUCAUUUUCCAGAAAUCAUUUUCCGGAAGUUAUUUUCAGUGAAAAAAAUGGAGCCUUAGUAUAUAUAUAUAUAUAUGUAUGUUGAGGGAGUAGUCGAGGGAGGAAAAACACGAUUAGUUUUUAUUUCUUUUUCUUUUCACAUUGAAUUGUCAUAAAUGAUUUAUAUAAGUACCAAGGAGUGGACUUAUGUGUGUUGUUGUGGCUUCCUCAAUUUCAUAGCUUGGAAAUAAAAGUACAAGAUUAAUUUAAUUGUAGCUAUCUCAAUCAAGUGAUUUUGGUUUAGUCCUCACGAUUCUUAAUGCCAUGAUUGAAUUUAAUAUGGAACGCUAUUGUGCCCACCUAUUUAAUGCUAAGCUUUAAUUGAAAUGCUUGGUUUGAAUAUAGAGUUAUUCUUUUUGCGACUUUUUCGAAUAAGUAGACUAAGCAUUUGGGUAUGAGAAAUUGAUUUUUAAGUCUAUGAUCAGAAUUACAAUUGGAUGGAACUUACACCUUUGGAUUGGAAGUUUGCUAAGAAUUGAUUUUCAUUAUUUUUAAUAUUCAACUUUUAAUUAAUUUCUUGUUUAUCUUUAAUUAUUAGUUCAAUAUAUCAAAAUCUCCCUUUUUUAUUUUAUUGUCUAAACUUUGAGACUAAUAAAUUUAGCUCUAUUGGGAUUCGACCUGAUUACACUAUUUCUACGAGUUAGUUUAGGAGGAAAUGAGUUGGAAAAACACAUUAUUACCAUAUUGAACUUUCUCUUUCUAGUUUCCAUUUUCUCUUUCAAAAAUCCAUAAAACCCUUAGCUUGAAUGGUGAAGUUGACAGAGGAAAAUGAGUUUAAAAGUUGAUUCUCCACUUGAUUUUUGUAAAAAUCGAAGUUUGGGAUUGAAAUAUGGCUUAAAUUAAAGAUAAAUAGAAAGGAGACCAAUAAAGGUGUCCGUGGGUUGAGUUGACUUGAUGCCCGAUUAAAAAAAAUUUUAAAUCCAGACCCGCCCAAAAAACUAAUUUUAUUGAAAAAUUAAUAAAAUAUUUAAAAUAUAUUUUUAUAAUUAAAUUUAAAUUAAAAAAUACUUUUUAUUAUUUAAAUUAAAUUUGAAUUUAACUCGGAAUACAAAAAUUCUUGUCUAAACUCAAACCAAACCAAGCAAAGCCUACUGAGUAAGGCUAACUACGUGAUUUUUGGACAGAUCUAGUGAACAAAAUCUCCGUCCCCCGUAAUGGCCACCUGGUUUGGGGAUGGGGUUUUUUUUUUGCCCCCCUUCCCUCUGUUAGAAACAUAUAUUUAUUAGUUCAAUGGUAGCGACCACGCCCCUUUAAUCUCAUAUAUAUAUAUAUAUUAGUUCUCAAUAACAGAGAUCUACUUAUACUAGUGUAAAACUUAAGUGGAUUUACACCUUUUCGUAACUUUUUAUACAAAUAAUAUUUUAACAAUCUAACAAUUGAAUUCAUCAUGAUAUUUGUACUUGUCAUACAUGUAAUUUGUUAAAUUUAUUCGAUAACUCUAUCAUAUCAAUCUAAAUAAUUGUCUAUAUUAAUAAAUAUUUAAUGGUUGGAAAGUUUUUUACAUAAAAUAAGUAGUUAGAAAUUUUUAACUUAUGUCAAACUUGACAUGUAUGAUCUACAUGAAUAGAGUAUGAAAUUUGACGGAAGAAUUAUUAAAAUAUUAAUUGUAUAAAACAUUAUGAACGGAUGUAAAACCAUUUUAAUUUUACUUCGUAUUCUUAAAUCUUCUCACUAAUCCCUUUUCUAAUAAAAUUAAUCUCAAUAAUUUAAUACCACAUUAAUAUUAUAAACCAUUUAUAGUAUUGCGUGAAAUGAUCAAAAUACUCACAUAUGACAAAGUUACCAUUUUACCUGUUUUUUAUUCAACACUUACAUUAAUCACCAUCACUUGACACUUAUCAUAUUUGAACUUCAUAAUAUAACUAUUACACAAAUCCAUAUCAUUCUCUCUUUCCUCUUCUCCUUAUACAUGUUUUGUACUUCCCUUAAGAGUCCAACCAGAACUACCCUAGCACGAGGUGCCAUUAGAGGGUCAUACCAACUAAAAUUAACGACAACAUACCCUUUUCCCAUUUCCAUAAUUUGGGCACCCAAGAAAUUUUCUACUUGGGUUUUCAUUACAUCAUGAUGUCUUUAACAUAGUUGGGAAUCAUAAUAACAAACAAGUAUAGCAUUUGGUGCCUCCUCUUAUUCUUAUUCUUAUUCUUCUUUUUCUUUGUUGUUUGGUUCAAAAAGUGGGAGUCCUCUUUUUUAAGGGUUUACUUAUUUUAAAGUGCAAAAAAAGAUUAAUAAGUAUUUUUAAAUUUGUAAAAAAAUGUCUAAAUAUGUGGCGCUUAGUUGGAGAACACAUUGGCAUUUAAUGCCCGUAAACUAGCCACGUGUGAUUCUUGUUGCCUCUUUAACGGUGAUUAAUGAAAUAGUGACUAUUUUGUUAUAAUACAAUAAUGUUAGUGACCACUUUAUAAGAAGUUAAAGUUUAGCGACUAAAACAUUUUGAGCAAAAGACGAGCACAAGGGUCAAAACAUAUUAUUAAGUAAUAUCACUAAUAACAACAUUAUGGAUUUCAUUUGGAUAAUCCAUAUUGAUAAACCACCUCUUAGCUUCACUACACAUUUUAGUACAAAUUAAAUCGGCCACACUAUUACAUGACCAAUGAGACCAAACUAAGUUGGCGGAAUUAAACAAACUAAAAGCUUUUUUACACUUUUUAACCCUACUACCUAUAAUGGUAAUGUCCUCAUCACAUAUAUUCAAUUUGUUCACCAACCUAGCAUUGUUAUUUUCAAAAGUCACAUCACCUAGAAUGUUUAGCUUGUCCGCAACCUCUAUGCUUCUCUCCAAGGCUAUGCACUCAGCCUCUAGUACACAAAAUCUACCCUCAUUGAAGCCUCCACCACCCCCAGCACAAACCCAUCCUCAUCUCUAAUGAUAACUCCAUAACCCAUCAUAUUAUUGUUGACUGUUGCAUCAAAAUUAAUCUUGACAAUGCCUUUCGAUCGUCUUUCCCAUUUCUUUGCAUCCUCAAUCUGGGUUAAUAUGGGGGGAUUCAUUAGGUUGUAGAUACGAAAUUUGUUACUCAGAUUACUAGCCUUCUCCCAUGUGCUUUGAGCUUUGUGAACUUGGCCUUUGAAAAUAAACUUGUUCCUACUGUUCCAGCAGUUCCAAAGCGUAGUAAUGAGGUCCGCCAUCCCCUUUUAUAUCAAGAAUUCUCAUCAUGUCUUCCAUCUAGUUGAUGCAUUUGUCAUACGGCUUCUCAUUACUGCUUAAGUCCCAUCCUCCUAUGGUUAGAACUUCGCGGGAUGUUGUACAUUCACGAAGGGCAUGGAGAAGAGUUUCGACAUUAGCACCACACCUGGGGCAGCUUUCAUUAAAACCAUUUCUGAUGGAAGCAAUUUUAACAUUUGUGGGAAGAAUCUCAUGACUAACUCUCCAGGCAAACACUGAAGUUUUUGGAAGAGUGUCAAGUUCUCCAAUAGAUCCUAUGCGGGCCAUACCCUAAUUUUUUUAACAGCAUCCACAAGUAAGCAAAUUUCGAAGUGAAAGACCCAUGAGGAUUGUGAAACCACACCAUCCUAUCUCAUUGGUUUUUAUUGCCUAUAGGAAUUUUACAUAUUCUAUUCCCCCAAUCUUUAUCGUACAACCUAUGCACCUUUUUGAUAUUCCAGCACCUAGCAUGCUCCAUCCAAAGAUCUUUAACACUGUCAUCACUUGAGGAAAGCAUAUUUGGGAUCAGUGUACUUCCAUUAAGACCUUCCAAACCCCAAUUGUCAUCCCUAAUUUUAAUGUUCUCACCAUUGCUUAUCUACCAACUGAAACCAUUCUUCAUAAAUUUCACAACAGCAGUAAUACUCGACCAAGUAAAAGAAGCUCUAUUCACUUUUUUAGCAUUGAAAAUAUUUCCAUCAGAAAAAUCUUUUAAAGAUAGAACUUUAAAGCAAAAUGACUCCUUGUUGUUGAUGAGUCUCCAAACUUAACGACCCAGGAGAGCUAUAUUAAAAAGUCUCAUAUUGUGUAAACCAAUACCACACAUUCCCUUAGGUUGACACAGAGUUCUCCAGGGGAGCAUAGACCAAAAUUUACCACUAUCCUUACCAGACCACCAAAUUCUACUAAGCUUUGUUUAAAUCUCCUUUAACACCCUUUUUGGGCCAAGAAAAAUAGACAGUGCAUAACUAGGGAUGGACUAAAGCACCGCUUUGAUCAUGACCUCUUUACCUCCAUAGGAUAAGAGUCUUUUUGUCCAACUAUUUAUUCUACAAGACAGUCUAUUAAUAAUAUCAGUAAAAGCCUCUCUUCUUUUACCAAUAGGGAGGGGUAGACCCAAGUAUUUAUCUAACUUCUCCACAACAUUCAUACUUAAAAGAUUAUUACAACUUUUUUUUGUUCACUAGGGGUAUUAGGGCUAAACAAAACCAUAGAUAUUUCAAAAUUUAUUUCUUGACCAGAAACAUUUGUAAACUUUCUAAGGAUAUUCAUGAAGCACUCUAUCUCUCUUUUUUUGUUCCUGACGAAUAAAAGAGCAUCGUCUGCAAAGAAUAAGUGAUUGUUGGUGCUGUAACUGAAACUAACAGACUCAGCACAGACUUGUCGAGCAAGUCUCGAGACUUGCUGAGCAAACAAGAGAAUUCGAGCAGAAGAAAGAAAGAAAAGCUAAGAAAAAUGAAGAGGAAAAUUGAUGAACAAACUGAACUUCAUUCAUCUAAUUGAAUAAUGGCAUAAUGCCAAUACAUAAACCAAGCACUAAGCUUGUCAAAAACAGCAAGUAAUUACCUAAACAUCACCUACUCCCACUAAUUACAUGGAAACUUGAAAUUUUAGCUUGUAAACCUAUACAAAGUUGUGUUUACAGCUCAUACAUAAGCUCAUUACAUCAGUCAACAACCUAACUUAGUUAGAAAUGAACAAAGAUUACAUUUCAUUGACUAGAAAUUACAAAAUAAACAAAAUAAGCUCGCAUCAGCAGCUCCUGCAUGUCUUGGUCUUCAUGGCCUGCAUGUUGUCGAGUUUGCUGCAUGCUGAACCAACUUCAUCACUCCUCCUUGGUUUGCAUGGAGCAAACACCUAGUUUCUUUCUUAGACAUUCGAACCUUGUGACACUAAGGGCUUUGGUUAAAAUGUCUGCAAGUUGAUCCUCUGAAUUACAGUGGAUCAGCUUUACUUCCUGAGCUUGCUCCAUUUCUCGAACAACAUGUAACUUGAUGCUAAAAUGCUUUGUUCUUCCAUGGAACACUGGAUUUUUAGCAAUUGUUACUGCAGAUUGGUUGUCACAGAAGAUCUCAGUAGCUUCCUCUUGAUGCACAUUCAAGUCAGCCAAGAUUUUCCUUAGCCAUAUGGCUUGGUUGACAGCACUUGCUGCUGCCACAUACUCUGCUUCAGCAGUAGAUUGAGCCACUAGACUUUGCUUCUUCGAGCUCCAGUAAAACAUGGCUGAACCAAGGUUAAAAGCAUACCCUGAGGUGCUUUUCAUGUCAUCUAUCGAGCCAGCCCAGUCACUAUCAGUGUACCCAACCAGCUUCAGAUUUCCUUCUUUGCUAUACUUCAAACCAUAGUUUAAAGUGCCUUUGACAUAUCUCAGCACUCUCUUUGCAGCUUGGAAAUGCUUCUCAUUGCAGCAAUGCAAGAACCUUGAGAGCAAUCCCACAGCAUACAUGAUGUCUGGUCUAGUGGCUGUCAAGUAUAGCAAGCAACCAACUAGACUCUUGUAGGUUGUUUCACAUACCUUCUCAAAAUCACCUUGGCUCGAUAGUUUUUCUCCAACAGCAACAGGUGUUUUAGUUGCCUUGUUGUUUUGUAUGGAGAACUUGGUCAAAAUCUUUGUGGCAAAGCUUCUCUGGCUUAGAAAUAUCUCAUUCUGUACUUGAGACACCUCCAUUCCAAGAAAAUAGGACAUCUCCCCAAGAUCAGACAUUUCAAACACUUCCUGCAUCUUGGUCUUGAAAUCAGCCAGCACUGCUCGAUCUCCUCCUGUCACCAGAAGGUCAUCAACAUACAGGGACACAAUGAGUUGUGUUUGUGUCCCUUGUUUCUUGACAUACAGUGUUGGCUCACUCUUGCUUCGAUCGAAUCCCAGAUCAGUCAAGUAGCCAUCGAUUCUGCUGUACCAGGCCCUUGGAGCCUGUUUUAAUCCAUAUAGGGCUUUCUUCAGUUUGUAGACCAUAUGCUCUCUGCCAGCUAUUUCAAACCCUUGUGGUUGUUCAACAUAGAUGUCUUCAUCUAAGAAACCAUUCAGAAAGGCUGAUUUCACAUCAAGUUGAUGGAUUUUCCAUUCAAGCUGUGCUGCUAAGGCAAUUACCAGUCUGAUGGUGUCGAGCCUGGCCACUGGUGCAAAGGUCUCCAGGUAGUCCAGGCCAUACUUCUGACUGAACCCCUUGACAACUAGCCUUGCUUUCAGUUUGUUCAAGGUUCCAUCAGCAUUGUGCUUGACUUUGUACACCCAUUUCACCCCAAUCACCUUCCUUUUGACUGGCCUUUCAACCAAUUCCCAGGUCUAGUUCUUCUCAAUCAUGCUGAUCUCCUCAACCAUUGCCUGCUUCCACCCUUGUUGAGCCUCAGCCUCUUCAAAGUUGCUUGGUUCAGCUAUGGCUACAUGAGCCCUUUCAUAAAUCUCAGUCAAUGGCCUUGUUCCUCUGACUGGUUCAUCAUCAAUGUCCAUUUCUGGAACAUUUUGGUCUGGCUCAGCUUGGUCUGUUGCUAGUUCUUCAGAAACUUUUUCAGGUUCAUGUCUUUCCCAGUUCCAACAUGACCUUUCAUCAAAUACCACAUCCCUGCUAACUGACACCUUGUUUCUUGAAGGAUCCAAGAUCCUAUAGCCUUUCUUAAUAGUGCUGUAGCCCACCAGUACACCAGGUUGAGCUCUUUCAGACAAUUUGUCCCUUUUAAUAGCAGGUACAUGUGCAUAACAGAUGCAUCCAAAGACCUUCAGAUGAGCCAGUGAUGUCUUGAAGCCAAACCAGGCCUCGAAUGGAGUCUGCUGAUCCAAAGCCUUGGUUGGAAGUCUAUUUUGAAUGUAUGUUGCAGUGUUAACUGCUUCUGCCCAUAGUGCUUUAGGCAGAUUCUUCUGAAUCAUCAAGCACCUGGCCAUAUCCAUCAAACUCCUAUUCUUCCUUUCACUUACACCAUUCUGCUGAGGUGUAUAUGUGUUGGUAAGUUGAUGUUUGAUGCCUGCCUUAUCACAGAAGGCUUGGAACUGAGCUGAGGUGUACUCAGUUUCAUUAUCAGACCUUAUGGUCUUCAGCUUGCAGCCUGUUUCAGUCUCAGAAGCAGUCUUGAACUUCCAAAACACUGAGGCCACCUCUGAUUUUUGUUUUAAGAAGUAAAUCCAGCAAUAUCUUGAAAAAUCAUCAAUGAACAGUAUAAAAUACCUGUUUCCACUUAAUGACUCAGUCUUCAUAGGGCCACACACAUCAGUAUGCACCAGUUGGAGUUUUUCAGAGGCUCUCCAGGCUUGAUUCGAGGGAAAUGGGAGUCUGGCCUGCUUUCCUAGUUGACAUACUUUACAUACAUCAUCAUGGUCCACUGAGUUGAUGAAAUUUUCAGCCAGGUCCUCUCUGACCAUUCGGGCCAUCGAUCUGAAGUUGGCAUGUCCCAGUCUUUGAUGCCACAGCUUGGAUUCAUCUGAUGUGGCUGUGUAGGCAGUGUCUGACUUCUUUGUCCAGUCAACCACAAAGCUCUUAUCAGCCAUAGGGACUGCCAUCAGUUUGGAUCCACUUGGAUCACUGAUUUGGCACUGGUGGUCUUUAAACACAACAGAAUAACCUUUUUCCAGCAACUGAGCUAUGCUGAGCAGGUUUCUGUAAAUUUCAGGCACCAACAGCACAUUUGAAAUCACUUUGGUACCUGUAAGGGUGCAUAUCAGCACAUCACCCUUGCCUUCAGCUUGAAUAAAAUGACCAUUUCCUAUCUUGACUUUAGUUCUGCAGCUUCUGUCUAAAGACUUGAAGAUUGCAGCAUUAGGUGUCAUGUGGUUGGUGCAUCCACUGUCUAGGAGCCAACCAGAUGAGGACCUUUCCUGAGCAGCUGAGCAUGACACAGCAAAGACUUGCUCCUCUUGGUCACUGUCCUCCUUAGCUACUCGAGCCUCAGCUUUCAUCUGUUGAAACUGAUUCUGCCUCGAUUUGGUCUUACUCUUGCAGACUCUCUCAACAUGACCCUUCUUCUUACAAUGCUGACAUACAGCUUCUGGAUUAAACCAGCACUUUUCUUCUGGAUGACCAACCCUUCUGCAGUGCUUGCAAGUAUGACCUUCUCUCCUUGCAGCAUCAUUCUUUGGUUUGUCUCUCCAGGCCUUCUUGCCUUUGUAGGCAGUAUUUGUUCUUGCCUGAAAGGCACCUUCUUGGUGCUCCUCCAGUCUGCUUGCUCUCCUCUGCUCUUGAGCAUAUAGAGCAUUGAUCAACUCUGUCAGGGAGAUGGUGGACAGAUCCCUUGAGUCCUCGAGAGAUGAGAUUUUUGCCUCAUACCUCUCAGGCAGAGUUGCUAUAACCUUCUCCACUAUCCUAGCUUCAUUGAACUGCUCUCCAAGGAGCCUGAUGCUGUUAACCACAGCCAUAAUCCUGUCAGAAUAUUGCUUGACAGUUUCUUCUUCCUUCAUCUUCAAAUUCUCGAAAUCUCUCCUCAAGUUCAACAACUGUUGCUGCCUUGUCCUCUCUGUCCCUUGAAACUCUUCCUGCAACUUGUCCCAGGCCUGUUUUGGUGAUUCACAGGCCAUAAUCCUUGUGAAAAUCACAUCAGACACUGAGUUCUGGAUGCAAGACAUGGCUUUGUGCCUCUUGGUCCUCUCAUCAGCAUGCUGCCUGAUCUGAGCCACUGUUGGAUUGCCUCUAAGUGGUUCUGGUUCAACAUCUGAGUUGACCACCUCCCACAGAUCGUAUGCCUGUAGGUAGGUCUUCAUUUUGACCACCCAUAUGUGAUAGCCUUCUCCAUUGAAGACUUGAGGUGCAGCUGGUGAAAAGCUUGAUGAAGCCAUGUAUUUGUAUAACAGAUCCCUUAAGAAAUAGGCUCUAGAUACCAAUUGUUGGUGCUGUAACUGAAACUAACAGACUCAGCACAGACUUGUCGAGCAAGUCUCAAGACUUGCUGAGCAAACAAGAGAAUUCGAGCAGAAGAAAGGAAGAAAAGCUAAGAAAAAUGAAGAGGAAAAUUGAUGAACAAACUGAACUUCAUUCAUCUAAUUGAAUAAUGGCAUAAUGCCAAUACAUAAACCAAGCACUAAGCUUGUCAAAAACAGCAAGUAAUUACCUAAACAUCACCUACUCCCACUAAUUACAUGGAAACUUGAAAUUUUAGCUUGUAAACCUAUACAAAGUUGUGUUUACAGCUCAUACAUAAGCUAAUUACAUCAGUCAACAACCUAAAUUAGUUAGAAAUGAACAAAGAUUACAUUUCAUUGACUAGAAAUUACAAAAUAAACAAAAUAAGCUCGCAUCAGCAGCUCCUGCAUGUCUUGGUCUUCAUGGCCUGCAUGUUGUCGAGUUUGCUGCAUGCUGAACCAACUUCAUCAGUGAUUAAUUCUAGGCCCAUGCACAAUAGCACGAAUACCUCUUAGCAAAUCAUUAUUCUGUGCCUAAAUAAGCAUUCUUGAGAAAGCUUCCAUACAGAAUAAGAACAAGUACGGGGAUAAAGGAUCCCCUUGACGAAGGCCUCUUUUAGGGUAAAUGGUUUUUGAUAACAAAUUAUUACACUUAAUUAAAUGCUUAAUGGAACGUACACACCCCAUGAUUUUGUCGAUCCACUGAUUUGGAAAACCCAUUCAUCGCAUCACCGCUUCAAUGAAAUUCCACUCCACACGAUCAUAAGCUUUACUCAUGUCUAGCUUGAUCCGUAGCCUUUAUUGGAAUUGUACCGGGUGUUUUGAUGAUAAUAAAGAAGUUCACGUGCUAUAAGAAUAUUAUCAUGAAUCAUCCUACCUGGAUAAAAAGAACUUUGAUUAUAGCUAAUACAAUCAGGAAGUAUAACCUUCAGCCUGUUUCCCAACACCUUAGCAAUAAUUUUGUAGAUAUACCUGCACAAACUUAUCGACCGAAAGUUAGUGAAAUCACAAGGGUCUCUAUUUUUAGGGAUUAAAAUUAUAACAGUUUCAUUAAGUGAGGAGAUAUUUCCCUGUCCAUUAAGAAUGUCAAAACAAAAUCGUGUAGUGUCAGCACCCACAAUGUUCUAAUGCUGCUUAAAAAAAUUACCAGAUAAGCUGUCUAUUCUAGGAGCUUUCCUUGGAUCCAUCUAUUUGAUAGCCUUGUUAACUUUAGCCUCAUUAUACUCCCUUGUGAGUCAAACGUUAUUAUCUCUGGUAAUACACUCAUUCAUGUAGCUCAAAUCCAGCUGGGUGAUAUCAUUUCCAUUAGAGCGAAAUAAGUUCCAAAAAUAACUUCUAGUAGCUUUACAGAUCUCCUUACUAUUCGUAACCCAAUUACCAUUCUCAUCUUUGAUACUUCAUACUUCUAUCUCCUUCCUACUUCAUACUUCAGAGCGAAAUGUCCUGUAGAUUUAGCAUAGAAGUACUUCAUACUUCUAUCUCCUUCCUUGAGCCAUUGCACCUUCGAUCUUUGUGCCCAGUACCUUUCCUCCCUAUCAUACAGGUGAUUCAGCCUAUGUCGAUACUCCCUCAGCAUUUUUACACUGUCACCUCUACUUGUCGAAUCGAUUAUAUUAUUGAUGUUAUCCUCCAGCCUGCUAAUAUCUCUCUUCAUCAUCAAAUAAUUUUGUUUUUGCCAGUUUCCUAGAGACACCCGAACAUUUUCUAGCUUGUUCUCAUAGUUGCCCCACAUUGCAUCCAAUCCUUGUUAAUGAUCCUCUUAAUAUCCUUUUCUGAGGUCCAGCAGUCUUCAUAACGAAAUUGGAUUCUAUUAUCACAAGGAUAACACUUAGGUGUACGCCCAUAUAGAUCAAAAAGAAUGGUGUCAUGAUCAGACUAUGAUUGCCGAAUGACGCUAGAAGCAAUGAAAGGAAACUUUUCCACCAUAGAGACAGAAGUAAAGAAGCGAUCAAGCCUUUCCUUUAUUAACCUAUGCCUUUCUCUGUUAUUUACCCACGUGAACCACCCUCGGUCCGGCUUAAUAUCCACAACAGCGAAAUCAUCGACAAUAUCUUUGAAAUCAUUCAUAUACGCCCAAACAAUCCGACGCCCCAUUCCUUCUUUGCUUCAUUCAACAUUGCGUUAAAAUCACCUCCCACCACCCACUCCUCAUUGACAGCUUGACCCACUCUUCGAAGCAUAUUCCAAGAGUUAUUAUGUUCACUAGGGUUUGCAUGACAAUAGUAUCCCGUGACCCUAAUAAUACUGGUACUUCCUAACUUAACAGUAGAGUCGAUAUGAUGCUUUGAGUAGCUUUGAUUAGUAACAUCCAACUCGUCCUUCCACAUCAACACAAGACCUCCGCUCCGACCUUUUGAAUUUACUACAAGCCUAUUUUGCAACUUGCAUCUUAUUUGAACUCUUUGGAAUUCAAUAACAUUCAUUUUAGUUUCACACAGGAAGAUAAUAUCGGGUCUAUUGGCAACCAAAAGUUGCUUGAGUUCCUGAAUUGUCGCAGGUGACCCCAUCCUACGACAAUUCCAGCUGAGAAACUUCAUUCUUCAUGGCGGGGCUAUUCACCAGCCACCGCCUUUGAAGGUGUAGAGCCGUUCAUCAACUUUCUACGCACUAUUCUAUGAGGGCUUACUUCAUAUAACUCCCCAUUAUGUCCUCUAUUUCUUUUCCUUUUUGACUUUAUUUUUCCUAUACUAUCGCGUCCAAUUUUCAUAGAUCAUUUUUCUUGUGGUGUACUCAGUUCUGAUUCAUCAUCCGUGUCUUUAACUUGCUCCGUUUCCACUGGAUCAUUCAACGUAUUCGUCCCUAUUACCUUGCCGAAUUUCCUAUAUGACUUUCUAUCAUUCACAUUAUUCUCUUUAAUCAUUUCAAUACCAUUCCUUCAACCCAUUAUUUUGGUUGAUAACUCUUACUGGAACACUUAACCAGUUACCGUAUUGAAAUAUAUUAUCUUGGCUCUCAUUAUUAAUCAUCUGCUCUUGCAUUUUUGUGUCGUAUGACCAAUCAACCCACAAAUGUAACAGAAUCUUGGUAACUUCUCAUAUCUGAUUACACAUACAAACUCCUCCCCUUCGUGAUCAAUAUAAUGAACAACCCUUCGCAACGGCUUGUUUAUAUCAAUAUUAAUUCUAAUGCGCAUAUAUUCAGUCCAUCCUCCAUCUCUGUCUCGCUAAUCUAUAGCUAUGACUUCCCCUAUCGCAUUACCUACCUCCAACGCCAAAUCUCUAUCCAUGUACUCCAUCGGUAUGUUGGAUACUCUGACCCAAAAAGGUGAAUGACUAAAAUCAUAAUCUUCCAUUGUUUUGUCUUUAUUGUAUGGGACCAUGUUAAACAAGCAUUGGUCAAACAACCAAGGAGAGAGAUUAAGAAUUCUUUUUCUAUCUUCUUUAUUACAAAAUUUUACCGGUAUGCCUCCUUCUUUUAUAGCUACAAAAUUCACCUCCUCCUUUGUAUACCAUAGUGAUAUAAAGACUCUGUACAUUGCCUCUCUGUUUACUUUCUCCUUUGUCAUCAAUUUACCUAUAGCCCAAUGUUCAUAUCCUUUUGAGUUAUCCAUGUUUGCCUUUUUACUGACCACCCUCUUUGUUUCUUCCUCUGAAAAACUUAAUUUCGCCAACAAAAUACUGAUAUCCUCUUCCAUGAUUAUCAUGGGUAAUGUCCAAAGAUUCUAACAAGCCCUCUCUCCUCCAACAAACACCCAGAAAAUAGCCCAGCAAUAAACAGCUAUAGCCAGAGAAAGAAUACCAAGGAAAUCGCACACCAAAAGAACAAGCAACAAACGAAGAAAAACAACAAGAAACCGAGAUCCAAAGAGAACUACAAAACGAAACUUACAGCUAAAGUUUAAAAAGAUCUAAAAUACCUAUACUUAGUAACACUAAAGGCAAGAGAAACCCCCAUAAAAGACAAGAGAUUAGUUUAAUAAAGAUAAUAAAGAAAAGUCAAAAGAAAAAUUAUAAAUUCUAAGCCAUUCAUCUUUCUCGGUUUUUGCAUGAACGUAAAAUUCAUGCAAGAAAACAUAAAAAAAACUAUUAAACAAAAAAACCACGAAAGAGAGUAAAAACAAAACAAAUAAAACCUGAACCAGAGGUAGAAAUCUUUCACUUCAUCUAGGGCCAUUGAUCUGACGUGAAAUCAUGAGACUUCAAAAAACUAGCUAGAUGCCUGGAACAAGACUCCACCGCUACUCCACCACCCCACUAUCAGAAGGGAAAUCAACAAAGAAAAAAACUUACCAUCCAAUUAUUCUAUUAGAGAGAAUAAUGGAAACUGAUCGUUCUAAAUGCAUUUCUUGGAUCACUCUUGGUACGAAGCAGCUUCAACAGAAUUUCCUCCGCUCCUAAAAACCGGGGAAUGUCAUACAAAAUAAAAUCAAACCUGACUAAAAUGUUAUUUAACCCAAAUAUAAGUAAUUAUUUUGUAGUUUACCCAUAAUAAUAUUAAAAAAUUAUAAUAUUGAAAAUUAUUACAUUGAUAUUAAUAUUUUAAUAUUUUUAAAAUAAAAUUAAAAAUUUAUUAAUAAUAUAAUAAUAUUAAACUUAACUCAAAUUAAUUUUAUAUAAAAAUCAAUUUACUUGUAAAGGGUUAUUUUCUAGAAAACGGGUUACACAUCUCAAUAGGGAAAGUCAAUUUCCCAAAAAUAAAAAUACUUAUUUCUAUUAAUGGGUAAAUUAUUUUCUAUUGAUCAAGUUGUUUUCCAAGAAACAAAUACAAAGCAAAUGCAAAAAAAUCAGUAUUCCAUAAAUCAUUUUACAUGAAACAAGCACACCCUUAAUUACCUUUUCUUUUUUUUUUUUUGGUGAAACAAAAUAAAAGCGAACAAAAGAAAUUAAACUAUUCCCCCAAGCGGGGAUCUUCCAAAAGGUGCAAUCCUGUUCUCUUAUCGUGAACCGUCUUAACCAAACUAUCUGCAAAUUUAUUCACAUCUCGAGGGAUAUGUUGAAUACUCCAAUGAAGGACUUUUGAUAAGAGCCGGUGAAUUCUUCUAAUCAGAGCUUACUUGAAACCUUUUACAGCUGCUUCCUAAAUGACGUUAACAACUUCACGACUAAUCAUUUGAAUUAAGAUACACUCGAUUAUCAAAACUUAUUCCCUUAUUAAUAAUUUUCAUUACCAAAAUUUUCAAGCAAUUAAUUAGUUAUUUUAAUGGAAAAGUUACACUUAUUUAAGGUAAAUAAAAUUCAAUGAGCGAGCACAUGCCCAAAAUAGAGCUUCACUAGUUAGUUUACUGUCUUACCUUUGCUUGCACCCACCUUUUCUUUAUCUAGAUUACCUUCAAAAGACAAAUACAAGUUCCCCUACCUUCCUCCCUUAAAGUGAUUAGCCUUAAUAAAUAUCUUUUUCCAGCUAAGAACAUCACACUAUCACCGAAUUGUAUAGCCAUUAUGCAUUAUGGUUUGAUUGCAGCUUUAAUCUCCCAUUUACAUUAUGGAAAAUUGCACCUUAGUCCUCCCUAAUUCACCACAAUUCCAAUUUAGUCCUUUCUCAAAUAUUAAAAAUCAUACUUUCAUCACCAUUAUUUCCAUUUUAUAUCAAUAACAUUACAGACCAAAGAUUCUUUACUAAACUAUGGGUUCUGUUCCAACUUGUGGAACCUUGUUCACGCAUCAUCUGCUUUCAGUAGAGAUUUGCUUACUUUGUUAAUCAUCAGAGAAGUCCAUAGUCCUCGCUUGCUGUGAUAGCAUCAUCCUCGGUAUAAUAUUACAUUAUCUCGGUGUUUCAGGGCCACAGGAAAUAAUAGUCACUAUAUGGGCAUUAUGACACAUACGCAAUCAAUGUUUAUUAUUAAUGUUUAAGGUUGUUAUCCUCCCAACAAUGUUGUUACUAUACACAGUCAAUUUAUUCAUAAAGAGAAACAUGGCUUAGCUCAAGAAGUGGUUGUUGUUGAAACCACUUGUUGAAAACAAAAAUUAGUUGUCGACAUACAAACGAAAAUUGGAGUCACCACUGAUCUUUUAUUGGGGUGUAAUCGGAUCACCUUGAAAACAAUUUUGGUCUACGAAAUUUGAGAAAACAGGUUCGGGAGUCGGUUACGCACGAGGAGGGGUCAACACCCUCGUAAUGCCCAAAAUUGGUACCAAAUUGAUUAUUUAAUGUCUUAGUGUUGAAAAUUUGAAAAGAUUUUAAAAUACAAUCCUUUUUAAAAGAAAAUUUGAAUAAAUUGAAUUCGAUGAUAAGACCCUCUUAUUUCAAAGAAGUAAAAUGUCGCACCCAGUGAGUUAGGGUGCAACAUUUCUAAUCCUCCAAAUUAAGUUUGUCUUUUGAUUUUUAAAAUUUAUGCAUUUAAAUUUGAAAAGGAUAUUCAGUUAUUUGGGUCAAGUAAAAACUCAAAACCCAGUAAGUUAGGCUUCAAUUUCUCAAAAUUCCUAAAUACCGAAUAUUGCCUUUAUUUUUUGGAAAUCCUUAACUCAAGGUAGCAAAAUGUCAUAUCCAAUAAGUUAGGAUCCAACAUUUUGAAAUCCAGAAAGAGAACUUUUUAUUUAGAAUCUAUACAAUUUUAUUAAACAAAGGAUACUCGGAUAUCUAAAUUUAAUGAAAAGAAUUGAAGCCUAGUAAGUUAGGACGCAACUUUCUCGAGAAUUUUUAGUUACCGAAUAUUUUGAAAACUUAUAAAUAAGGCAAUGCCGAUCUUUUAAUAAAACGUAAUCUUUUAAUGUAAUGCGAUUGAAUGUUUACGUACAACGUAAAAAGAACAAUUCACAAAUAAAAUGUACUCUAAUGAAUAACAAACAAUUAAUAAACCAAUACAAACAAGUAUCACAACAAUAAUUUUAAUCAUACAUUAUAUAAAUAUCAAUAUCAAUGGUCAAAUAUGAAGUGAAUUAGUAAUGAAAAAUCUUUAACGACACACUAAAAGUAACAAAAGGGGAAAUCUUAGUUCAUAAAUCCUGUGUACAAAAAUUAUAUAUAUAUAUAUAUAUAUAUGAGUAUAAAGUAGAUUUGAAAUAGAAUGAAAAACAUUGAAUAAUAGUAUUUGAAGCAAAUAAUAUACAUAUAUUAAUUUUAUAUAGGUAACACAUAUAUAGUAAAACAUAAUAGUAAUAACAUAUGUAUACUAAUAUAAAACAAAAAUUGAAAUAGGUAAGAUAUAUAAAGUUAGUUUAUUUAAAGGAAGUAAGUUACAUACAAAUAAACAUUGUUUUGAAAUAAGCCUAUCAACAUAUUUAAAAGACCAUUUAAAAUCAAUAAUUAUAAUAAUAUCAAAACAAUAACAUCCACAUAAAAAUAAUUUAAUAAGCCAUAUAUAUAUGUAUAAUAGUAUUAUAUAUAAAAAUAUUAUCAAGUAAAUAUUUAACAUAUGGGAAUAUACCAAAACUGAACUUCAAAAACAUAUUAUAAAAAUAAAAUAUCAAAACUGUAUACAAAUUAUAUCAAAUUUCAUAAAAAAAAUACAAAAUAAUUAAUGAUGAAUUAAAUAAUAAUAUGUUAAUUUUAAAAUAAUAAUACAUAAUGAAUUUAAAAUGUUAAUGUUUAAUUAAUGUUAAUAAUAAUUUAAAAUAAUAGCAUGUUAUACCUUAAAAUAAUACUAAUGAUAAAUUUUAAAAUGUUGUUAAAUUUAAAUAUUAAGUAACGCUAGAUUUAAAAAUAAAUAUAUUAAGAACAAGAACCAAUUAAAUUUAAAAAUACUAAUAAGGACUAAAUUUGAAUUAAAAUAGAAGUAAAAAAGGCAAAAUAAAAAAUAAAACAAAAUAAUGGGUCAAAAAUGGAUUAAAAUAAAAUUAAAGAGCAACAAACAGAAUUAAAAUAAAAAAAGGACUAAAGCGUAGCGCAUGAAUAACACGAGGGACCAAAAAGGGAACAUUCCCAACACCUCAAAACGCAGCGUUGCAAUUGGACUAAAAUGAAAUCAGUAAGAAAUUAUGCAGUCCAAUUUGAAGAAUCAAAAGAAACCAAAUUAAAACAAAGUGCAAAGGUGGAGGACCUAGCGUACAAAUAUCUCACCAAAGUGAAAACACGCGGAUCCUCCUCGGGCUGAGUCACGCACAUGUGUACAGGCCUAUACGACACCAUUUUGGAACCACUGAUCAGAAUCCAAACGAUGUCAUUUCGUAUGUUACAUAAAGGCCACAAAAAACCCUAAUUAGUAGCAACUUAAUCAUUUAAAAGCAAACCCUAAAGAAAAAAACCUCUCCUCUAAGCCCCGCUCGGCAGUUAGGCCAUUCAAAGGCCUCUCAUUCUUUGCCCACCUUCGAUUGCGACGGAGGGAGAAAAAGUUCGGCCACCAGGUACACUUCCUAUUCUUUCACUCUUUUUCCCUUUUUUUUUUAGCGUAUGAUUGAUAAAUAAAGAGAUAGAAAGGAACAACCAGAGACGAAAGAAAAAAACUCGAAAAUCACCUUUUAAAUCUCUUUUUUCUGCUUAGAUUUCUUUUGUAUUUUCAAUUUCGUAUCUUUUUUUUACAAUGCUUGAAUCGGCCCUUUUAUAGCCGAAAAAAUGAAAUAGAAAUAAAUAAUAAUAAUAAAAGAAAUACAUUUUUCUAUAUUAUGUUAUCCCCUUUUCUGUUAUUCUAUUUUGCUUCUAGUGUGCUCCUUUCUUGCUGGUUUGCUGUGUUUGUUACAAGUGCUGACAUGAUGGUUGGACACAACAAUUAAUGGUUGGACACAACGAUGACAACAAUUAGAGAGGAAGAGAGAAAGAGGAGAAGAACAUGAAAUUUUCCAUCCAUUUUAGAGUGAUUUGACGAAUGAUGCAAGUUUAAGAGCUAAACAAUGUGAAAAAUUAACUAGAGAACUAAAAUGAUUUUUUUUUGUAAAGUUCAAAGGUUAAAAAGUCAUUAUGCCUUUCUGAUAUCAUGUCAUUGCAUGUGGACAUGCGAGUUUUUUUUUUUUUUGUAAAGAAAAUGGUAAAAACCACGUUAUUUGAAUGUCCACCUAAAACUCCAUUAUAUAAAAAAAGUCAUUGCUACAAAAUUACAACACAAAGUCACAACAAGAGCAUAUAACUUAACAAAGGUUAUUAACCAAGUAAUCACAAGUACACUAAAAGAAAAAUUUGUGAAUAUCACACUAAUAGUAGUUAACUUUGAAAGCUGAAAAACCCGAAAUGACAGAAUCCCAAAUGAAAAUCAGAACAUACACAUCGAAUAUAUUUGAGUAUACUAACUAUUCUAAAUAUACCUCCAAUUGAAAAACGGACAAAAACUAGUCUUUGUGAUAAAAAAAACUACUCAGACUUUUCUUUUCUUUUUUCAUUUUUUUCAUUUUGUUGCACUCUUUUUCUCUCUCAUAUAUAUAUAUAUAAUUGAAACCAUCCCCAUAUAUGUUUGAAUUAUUUAGUGUUUUCAAAGUUGUUUUUCUAUUUCAAUAAGUCCCAUUCUUUGGGAACAACUUUCUGCAUUUGUUUAAACUAGUGGUAUCCUUGUUUAUAGAUGAUAUAGGUGUUAGUUGUGAUUCUAUAUUUGUCAUUUGUAAGGCUAUAAAAAGCCAACUUUUUAUCUUCAAAAGUGACACUUGUUUCCAGCUUUCAUUUGAUGUUAUACUUAACAUUCUGGUAUCCGAACUUGGUUGUUGAGAAAAUAAGUGGAUACGAGUGAAGAAAAGAGUGCAGGUAGUCUUACAAAGAUUCGUCAUUUUGAUGGUCUUCACUAUGACCAUUGGACUGAGCUGAUGGAGAAUCUAUUGAAGUUUAAGGACUGUGGAACCUAGUUGAGAAAGGCUUCGAGGAGCCUGAAACAACGACUGUGCAGAUCAUCGUGCAAUAGACACAGAUGGACGAGAUAAAGAUGAAGGAUCAUAGGGUCAAACACUAUCUAUAUCAAGCCAUAGAUUGUGUUAUUUUUUAGUAGAUUUUGGAUAGAUGAACCUCCAGAAUUGUUUGGAAUUCUUUGAAGAGCAAGUUUGGUGGAAAUGAGAGAGUGAAAAGGUCUCUUCUCAACACAUUAAGAAGAGAAUUUGAGGUGUUGGAAAUGAAGAAACGAGAAACGAUCAAAGAUUAUUUUCCUAAUGUAAUGGCUGUAACAAACUUGAUGUAUAGCAAUGUGGAGAUAAUCUCUGACUUGGUGACAGUGGAGAAGAUUUUGCAGACCUUGAAAAAACGUUUCACGUAUGUGGUAGUAUCUAUCGAAGAGGAAAAAGAUGCACAUACCAUCUCUAUUGAUGAAUUGCAAAGUUCAUUAUUUGUACAUGAACAGAAGUUUAAGAGAAUGGAAAGAGAAGAAGAUCAUGCCUUAAAAGUUAUUGCUGGUAACGAAAGGUUUAAGAGUAGAGGACAUGGUGCAAAUUCAUACAGAGGGCGUGGAAGAGGCAGAAGGAGAUCAUUUGACAAAGCCCGGGUAGAAUGCUAUAAAUGCCACAAAUUGUGGCAUUUUCAGUAUAAAUGUCCAAGGUAGGAGAGUAAAGCCAACUUUGUGGGACUUGAUGAAGAGGAAGAGCUGCUCUUAAUAACGUGUGUCGAAACCAUUUUUAUUUUAAAAAAUGGGGUCGACUUUUAAAAUGAAAAUGGAGUUGCCACCAAUCUUUUUUCGUGGUGUGAUCGGGUCACCUUGAGAUUAAUCAUUUUAAUAAAACAUUUUGAUUUAUUAAAAUAAUGUUUUGGUCUACAAAAUUCGAGAAAAUGGGCUCGGGAGUCGGUUACGCAUGAGGAAGGAUUAGCACCCUUGUAACGCCCAAAAAUUGGUACCUAAUUGAUUAAUUAACGUCCUAAUGUCAAAAAUUUGAAAAGAUUUUAAAAUACGAUCCUCUUUAAAAACCUGAAUAAAUCAAAUUUGACGUUAAGACAUCAUUGUCCCGAAGUAAUAAGAUGUCACACCCAGUAAGUUAGGAUACGACAUUUUAACCCUCAAAACUAAGCUUGUCUCAUGCAUUAAAGUUUAAAAAGGAUAUUCGGUUAUUUGGAUCAAAAAAAUCGAAACCCAGUAAGUUAGGGCAUGAUUUUCUCAAAGCUCCAAAGUACCGAAUAUUGCCUUAUUUUUAAAAGUUUUCUUUUUUAAAAUUGGGGAAAAUUGACGCAAUAUUAAAGCGAUGCAUAAAAACUUUGAUAAAAAAAAGACAAUAUGAAAAUACAAAUAAACAAUUUAUAAAACACAUAAUGAAAAUUAUUUAAAUACUAGCAUCAAUAAUCAAAGACCAAUGAAUUUAAAACAAAGAGUAUAAAAAAAAUAUAAGACAAAAUAAAAUGUAAACAAAUUUAAAAAUAAUGAAUUUGAAAAUGAAUAAUAAGGGAAAAAGAAAUUUGAAAUCAACAAUAUACAAAUCAAUAAAUAAAUUAUAUAAAAAAGUAGGUAAUAUAUGUAUAAGUUUGGAAUAAAUAAUAUAUAAAAAAUGAAAAUAGGUAAUAUAUAAAAUAAUAAUAUAUAAAUGAGUUUAAAAAUAAAUAGUGUAAUAAGGAAUUUAGAAUAAGGUAUACACAAAACAUCUUAAAAAUAAAUGGUAUAUAAAAUAGAUAGUAUAAAAAAAAUUGCAAUUGAUAAUAUAUGGAAAAAAAUUUAAAGCGAAUAAUCAAACAAUUUAAAAUGGAUGAUUUAUAACACGAGUUUUUAAAAAAUAAACAACAUGUGUGACAUAAUAUUAAAAACAAAUAAAGUAUAUAAUUAAUGGAAGAAAAUAAAAGAAUGAUAAGAAUGGUUAACUGAAUGAACAAUAUGUAAAUAAAAAAAUUAAUGGAUAAAUAAACGAAUAAAAGUAAAAGAAUAAUUAAUGAUUAAACCAUUAAAUGAAUAAAUAAAAAAGAUUAAAAAAAUACUUAAGUUAGCCUAGCUCUCACAAUAUGAAGAUCUAAUGAAAUUCCUCCACCAAAAUCCAACUCAAAUGAAAGCAACUUAAAAAGAAACGAAGAUGAAUGAAGAACAAAAUAAGAAUAAGCCACAGAAAAUAAGAACGCAAGAGAGAGAGAAAUUUGAGUGAAUGCUCUUAAGAAUUAUUAUUGCUCCAAACUCAAGUGUUUUACAAUGAAGGGAGAGGCCUAUAUUUAUAGUUGAGCCUCCCCAAAUCCAACGGUACAGAUCAAUUACAUCAACGGCUAAGAUUAAAGGGUAUCUACAAAUUAAAUCUCUAAGAUUACAAAAUCAUAUCUUCUAAGAUUGCAUAUCAUAUCUAAGAUUCCAUAUCCUUGAAGAUUAUGUUUCCAUAUGCGUCAAGCUUGUAGAUGAACCUUCAACCUUUUCAAGUAAUGGUCAUUCCGGUCGGGCCAAAUAAAUGAUAUAAUUUUGGACUGGACUUGGACUUUGUUUUAUUAUUUUGGGUUUAUUAUUUUUUUGGGCCCGGGCUAAAUUGACCUAUUACAACGUGUGUGGAGACACAUAACUUACAACAAGAUGGCAUAUGGUUUCUUAAUUCGGGAUGCUUGAAUCAUAUGUGUGGGAACAAGAAGUGGUUUUCUCAUCUUACUCAUAGCUUUUGACACUUCAUCAAGCUUGAAAAUGAUACAAAAAUGGUAGUAAUGGGAGAAGGAAGUGUUAGAUUAGAGAUUGGAGGCACUAAAUAGGUAAUCUUUGAAGUUUUCUUUGUUCCAGAUCUAAAAAAUUAUUUGUUGAACAUGGGAUAGCUUCAAGAGAAAGGGGUAGAUAUUUUGAUUUAAGGGGGUGAGUGCAAGUUGUAUCAUUCACAAAGAGGGCUCCUUAUAACAACCAAAAUGACCAGAAAUCGGAUGUUUGUGCUUUCAGCUAUUUUUUACCAUGCUCACAACCAUUGGUUUCAUCAUGCUUCCAAAAUACCACAAAAUAUAUCUCUCAUCUAUGGCACUGCAUGUUUGGUCAUUUGAACUACAAAAGCUUACGUAUGAUGCAGUGCAAAAGGUUAGUUCAUGGCUUACCAACAAUCAACAUUCCAAUCAAAGUAUGUACUCAUUGUUUGGUCAGAAAGCAAAUUAGGGAGAAAAUGAUAGAGCAUAAAAAAAGUUGCAGUUGAUACAUUCUGACAUUUGUGGACCAAUUACAUGAUUUUUAUAAGUGGGAAAAGGUACUUACUCAGUUUUAUUGAUGAUUUUAGUCACAAAAUUUGGGUCUAUUUCUUGCAUGAAAAAUUAGCGAUGUUUGAGGUAUUGCAGAGCUUUAAAAAAUAUUUUGAGAAUGAAAGUGGUAAGCAUAUAGCUUGCUUACGCAUAGAUAAGGGUGGAGAGUUCACCUCCCAUAAAUUUAAUAAUUUAUGUAUGGAGAAUGGUAUUCGCAGGCAAUUGACUACAGCCUACACCUAGCAACAAAACGGGGUAGCAGAAGAAGAGGAAUCGAACCAUUAUGAACUCGGUUCAAAGCAUGUUAUUUGACAAAAAAUGUCCCAAAAGAAUUUUGGGCAGAAGCAGUUCAAUGGUGUACCCAUGUGAUGAACAGGAGCUUGACAGUAUCCGUGAAUGGAUGAAUACUAGAAGAGGUUAGGAGUAAUGUUACACCUUCUGUGGACCAUUUUCGAGUGUUGGGGUGUGUUGCCCAUGUACACAUACUUGAACAAAGAAGAACAAAGUUAGAUGACAAAAGCUACAAGUGUGUUUUCUUUGGUGUGAGCAAUGAAUCCAAGGCUUAUUGAUUGUAUGAUCUAGUCUCUAGGCAUAUUGUGAUAAGUCGUAAUGUUGUUUUUGAAGAAGAUAAAGGAUAGGAUUGGAGUCAAAAUUCAGAGGAUGCGAACAAAGAGUUGGAAUGAGAAGAUAUUACUCUUGAGGAUGAUGUGAGUGAAGAUGAUGUCGUUGUACCAAACAUAGAGGAAGUAGUUAGAGAAAAACCACCAAGUCCAAACAUUCUAUCUAAAUAUCAAGAGAGGAUUAGACGAGAGAAUAGAAGAGCACCAGAGUGGCAAAAAGAUUAUGUGAGUGGCGUAGGACUAGGCCAUUCUGAUGAAUACGAAGAAGUUAAUAACUUGGUUCUAUACACCACAGUAGAUCCAAUCACUUUUAAAGAAGUUGUUGUAAGCAAAAAAUGGCUUGAAGCUAUGAAACUAGAGAUUCAAGCCAUUGAAAAAAUGAAACAUGAGAAUUGAUGGAAAUUUUGGUUGGUGCAAAGAAGAUCGAAGUAAAAUGGGUGUUCAAAACCAAGCUAAAUGAACUUGGUGAGAUUGACAAACACAAGGCACGAUUGGCGGCAAAGAGAUAUGCCCAGAAAUAUGAAAUUGAUUACAACCAGUUGCAAAAUGGGAUACAAUCCAAAUGAUGAUUGCAAUGGCUACGCAAAAACGUUGAAAUAUCUACCAACUUGGUGUUAAAAGCACUUUCCUUCAUGGAGAGCUAGUGGAGGAAGUCUUUGUUGAUCAACCGCGUGGCUUUGAGAAAGAAGGGAGGAGCAUAAAGUCUACAAAUUAAAGAAGGCCUUGUACAAUCUUAAGCAAGCUCUAAGAGCGUGGUAUUGUCACAUUGGGUCCUAUUUUACAACGGAAAGUUUUGAAAGGUGCCCAUUUGAACCUACUCUUUUUAUUCAAAGUGAUUCGAAAGGAAGAAUUUUGAUUGUUAGUUUGCAUGUAGAUGAUCUCAUAUUCACGGGAAAUGAUGAGGAAAUAAUUAAAGCCUUUAAAAAUUCCAUGAUGCAAGAAUUUGAAAUGACUGGUCUUGGAAAGAUUAAAUACUUUCUUGGAGUUGAAGUGUUACAGAAUGAUAAAGGCAUAUUUAUUAGUCAAAGGAAGUAUGCUAAUGAAGUUCUUGAGAGAUUUGGAAUGUUAAGUUGCAACUCUGUUAGAAGUCCUAUUGUUCUAGGAACAAACUCGUGAAAAAUGAAGACGGAGUCAAAGUAGAUGUCACUGGUUAUAAGAAAAUUGUAGGGAGUCUUCGAUAUUUAACUACGACCAGACCACAUCUAAUGUAUAUGGUUGGACUGGUGAGUUGAUACAUGGAAAAACCUACUGAACUUCAUCCUAAUACAACAAAAAGGGUCCUUCGAUAUAUAAAAGGAACCUUAGAGCUAGGCAUUUUGUACAAAAAACGUGAAAAUAGCGAGUUAGUUGGCUACACAGACAGUGAUUAUCUGGGGAUCAAGAUGACAGAAGGAUCACUUCAGGAUAUGUUUUUCUGUUUAGAGAAUGUGCCGUUGCGUGGUCUUCAAAAAAAUAGCCAGUAGUGACCUUAUCUACCACCAAACCAGAGUUCAUAGCAGUAGUGUCAUGUGCUUGUCAAGUAGCUUGGAUGAGAAGAAUCUUGGAUUCUUUCAAUCAUCCUCAAAAAGAAAGUAUCACGUUAUAUUGUGACAAUGCCUCCACCAUCAAACUAUCAAAUAAUGUUGUAUUGCAUGGAAGGAGCAAACACAUUCAUGUAUGGUACCACUUCCUUUGUGAAUUGUCUAAUGAUAAAGUUAUUGAGCUUGUCCAUUGUGGAACAAAGGAGCAAACAACAGACAUCAUGACUAAGGAAUUGAAGUUUGAGACAUUUGAAAAGCUUAGGGAAAAACUUGGAAUUUGUGGAGAAGUAAACUAACUGCAAAUAUGCAAAAUAGUUUAGGGGAGGAAUUGUUUGAAUUAUUUAGUGCUUUCAAAGCUAUUUGCUGUUUCAAUAAGUCCUAUUCUUUAGGAAGAACUCUUUGUAUUUGUUUAAACUAGUGGUGAUCCUUGUUUAUAGGUGAUAUAGGUGUUAGUUGUGAUUCUAUAUUUGUCAUUUGUAAGGCUAUAAAAGCCAGCUUUCUAUCUUCAAUAAAAGUGACACUUAUUUCCAGCUUCUACUUGAUUUCACACUUAGCAAUAUAUAAUGUAGGGCACAGUGGGACUCUUGGGCCAUCCCCAAUAAAUACAUAUAUAAGAUAUUAAUUAUUAUAAAAUAUUAUCUUAUAAAUAAAUUUCCGUUGUAAAGAAGAAAAUAUUUAAUAAGUUUUUGAGAAAAAUAUCCUCAAACAUUGAUCUAGUACAACCACUUAUAUCAGUAGAGAAAAGUCCAUUAUAUGAACUUAUGCAAUUGGAUACGAAGCUUUCAUGGCGAUGCCACAUAACCCACCUGGUGUAUUCACAUCCCUUUGAAUCCUCAUAUACCCAUUUUCACCCCAAGUUUCUCCCCAUGAAUUCUUAAUCAACCAAUAGUUUAAACCUUCUUCACUUGUCCCAUAUCCAACAAUGGUGACUGCAUGGGUGAGAUCAUUGCUACAAUCUCCUGUAAACACUCCACCUUUGUAAAACUGAAAGGAUUGUCCAUAUCCAUCGAGUGCCACCGAGACCGGUUGAUUUGUGACGGCCUUAAGUAAUGCUUCUUCGUCGUUUUGAGGCACCAUUUGAUAGCCAUUGAUGGUGGCAACUUUGUUUAUCUGUGCGUCGCAAGUUUCUUGCAUUUGUUGAUAUGGGUAGCUUUCUUCGGUGGUUAUUCCUUGGUUUUGGGUGAUGUAUUCAAAAGCAUUCAUCAUCCAUCCUCCACUACAACCUUGGUUUCCUCCAUUUGUGCUGCAAUCCAACAGUUGUUGCUCAGAUAAUGUGAUUAAUUUACCAGUUUUGAUUUGGAUUAUCCCUUCAACGGCUGCCACUGCUGAAAAUGCCCAACAACAUCCUGCAAAACUAAACCAACAAUAACCCGUUGUUAAGUAUAAAGCAAUUAAUGCAAAUAAAUAAAUAAAUGAAUGCUUCAACGCCAAUCUAUAAUAAUAUAUAAACUUUUGAUUGAGUUGAUCUAACUAAUUACCGAAUAAUGAAGGAAAAUACAAAAAUAAUGUUACAGGUGAAGUAAAUUAUACUAUUACAAUAAUAACUGUCUUUUCAAAUUUUUAAAAAAAUAAAUAAAAAUUUUGCAUAAGAUGUGAUCUAAACCCAUGUGGCAAAUAUUUAUAAAAAAAAUACCCUUUAAUCAAGAUUUUAUUUUAUAUAUUUUAAAUUUAUUAUAAAAAUAUUUUCAGCCAUUGUUUAUAUAUUGAUGAUGUUAUUGGUUGAGUUGAUUACAAAUCAACCUGAUAAUAAUUCAAGAGAAGUGACAAUAUUAAAAUAAACAAGCGGGUCGUAUUUAUUAUUUUUAAUAUAAUAUAUUUACUUGUUUAUUUUUUUACUUGCAAUUUAAACUAUUUUUUAUUUUAAUUUAAUACAUAUCACAUCUAUUAUUAUUAAUUUCAAACCUUAAGUUUUAUUAUUUAGGCUUAAUGACAAAUUUGAUCACUAGCAUUUGUGUGUUUUGUCAAAAUAGCCCUGAUUGUAUUUUUGAGCCUUUUUUAACCAUCAACUUUUUCUCUUUUUUCUAACAUAUGUGAAAUAUUUUAAUGAAAUGUAAUUUACUACUUAAUAACUCAAUAAGAUAAUUACAUGUGAAAAACAAUAAAAUAAAUAAUAUAUGAAAUUUUUAAAAAAUAAAACUUAAUUUAAAGAAAAUGGCUCAAGGCUUCAAUUUUUUUUUAAAAUAUUUCAAUCUUUCGUAUGUUUAUUUAUGGAGAGGUUUCAAUUAAGAGUUAUUUUUUUAAAUUUCAUAUAUUAUUUAUUUAUUUUAUUAUUUUUCACAUGUAAUUAUCUUAUUGGGUUAUCUAAGUAAUAAAUUACAUUUCAUUAAAAAUAUUCUACAUAUGAAAUUCUACAUCAUACUCGUUAACUUUUUUAACGAUAUUUUCAUCAAAUUUGUUAGAACAAACUGUUUGAGGAAAAAAAACAAAAGUUGAUGGCUAGAAAAGACUCAAAAAUACAAUUAUGGUCAUUUUGACAAAACAUGUAAAUGUUUGUAGUCAAAAUUGUUAUUAAGCCGAUUAUUUAUUGCAUGCAAUCUUUAAAAGCGACGUGUUGUAUGUAAUUCACUUUCUAAAAAGAAUGCUUACUCAGUCAACAAUUUUAUGUAUAUAUAUAAAUUAUUACUUACCACAUUGACCUUGAUUCUUGAUAGGAGUGACUGCACCUUGGUCCCUCCAAUCAAAGUUUGUCGGAACAUCUGAUACGUUCUCAUACCUGAACGAUGUUGACUCAGGCAUUAUGGGGUUGUCUUGCAUCUUGUAUCCAGUGUGAGCUGCAAUGAAUUCAUCUUGUGUCAUGUCUGCAAAUAAAUCAGGCUUAACUUAAAACUUCUAUUUCCACCAUUGUUGAAGCUCUCAAUGUAUUCCAAAUUCUCUUUGAAUAUAUUAAGACGCUUCUCCUUCUCUAAUUUGCUCUCAUAUUUUCGACUAUAAUCAACCAUCCAUUGCUCAUGUUUAUCAACAACAGAGGCUUCAUAGAUUGUUCGGGACAUAGCAAGAGAUGCCAAUGUCCCAAAAAUUAAAAACAAAAAGGCAUGGAUUAAACUCAUCUUGUUGUUUUGCACUAUAUGCUGGGAUACUACACUAAUUUCUGGGUUUAUUCUUUGCUAAUUGCUAAGUUGUGAAUAACUAGCACUCUACGAAUGUAUAUAUACUAAAAAAUUGAUUGAAAUAAAUAUUUUUUUAAUUAAGUCAUCUUAUGAAAAAUCCAAAUAAAACGCCAAUCAAGUCAAUUUCCAGGGUUUCAAUUAGAGACAUACAUUUUUUUUUAUAUAAAUCAACAAAUUAAUAGUGUGGCGUGAUUGACGGAGACAUACAAUGUUUUACUUAUUCCUUCAUUGCUGUUUCUCGGUUGGUGUUUGACUUCGAAGUCAAUGUUAACAUUCCAAUUCUCCCACUACAUGUCCACUGGGUCCUCAGCUUUUGGUCCAAUAUCAGUUUUUUAUUGAAGAAAUUAUUUAAUAAUUAUUUUAAUAAAAUAAUGAACAUUAUUAAAUAUUAUCAUAAGAAUAUUUUAAUUCUAUAAAUAGAUUUUAAAUAUGGUCACUUAUCUCCUUUUUUUAGAAAUAUAAUUUUUUUUUAUUUUGAGCGAAUUACACAGACAAUUAUCUAACUAUAAAUUUUGUUAAGUAUCCAAAAUAAAAUAAAAAAUUAUAAUUUAAUUACCCACGCUUCAUAAUUCAGCGCUUCAUAAUUCAGUCAUUUUAGUUGCUCCCGUUAAAAUACAAUAACAAGCUAGCAUUAUAGUUAAAAAAAUCAAUAUAAUAACAAAUUUAACCCUCAAUUUUUAUAUAUUAUAUCAACUUAGUCAUAAUUUUAAAAAAUUAACUCAAAAUUUACAAAUGUUCUCAAUUUGAUCUUAAUUCUAAAAGAUUCAAUGAAAUAUAUAAACAUACAUAAAUAAUUUUAUAAAUCAUGAUAAUACAUUUAAAUUUUAUAUUAAUGUUAAAUAAAACUAAUUAUAUUAAUAUUAUGUUUAUUUAAUAUCAAUAUUAAUAUAAAAUUUGAAUUUAUUAUUAUAUAUUUUGAAAAUAUUUAUGUUUUUUUGAAUUUUUUAGAAUAAACUAAAUUAAAAAUAUUUAUAAAUUUUUAGGGUUAAUUUUAAAAUUAUGACUAAAUCGAUAUAAUUUGUAAAAAUUAAGGGCUAAAUUUAUUAUUAUACUAACUUUUUUAAUUGCUACGUUAGCUUGUCGUUUGCGAUAGUAACAUGGGUGAUCAAAAUAAUUGAACAAUGUAAUGCGAGUGCUUAAAUUGCAAAUAUUUUAUUUUAGGUGCUUAAAAUAAAAAAAAAAUUAUAAUUUGGUGACAAUCUGUGUAGUUUACCCUUUUAAUUUUUACUACACCUUAAACGAGUAUGUGACUCCCUCUAAACUCUGCUUAUAGAAACUAAGAACUCCACUGUUAAAAGGAAUAUUUUAGCUUCUGUUUGUUUGAAAAAAUGACCCUUUAAUCCCUACAUGUUAACUUUAUUGUUAAUGGAAAGACAUUGCUUAAAAGUGACAUUAAAUCAAAUAUUAGAUGAAAUUAAAAAGCUUAUUAGAUGUGUUUUAACCAAGAUAUUUCGUCUCCUGGAAAAUUUUGGGGUGUUGGCAAAGUAUCAUAAAGUAGGGUAACCAACAUGUUAGUGUGGUGUUCCAAUUGUGACAUGGUGAUGAUGGUUAGAAACUUGUGUUGCAAGGAGUAAGAAGAAGAGAAUAUAGUUAAGACUUGAGGCGUGAAAAAACACUUUCCUUUAAUGCUUUUAAGUUUGUCUCUAGAAUACAAUGAAAAGAACAGAACAGUGAAAAUAGCACAUUUGAGUAUUAGAUAGGCACUGCUUGUUUCUUUUCAUCAAAGAAUAUGUGACUUAGCACAAACAUAACUCGUGGCAUAAGGUAUGUUUUUUUUCAUAACAUAACGAUUUACCAUAAAAUUAUGUUUCUUCAAUUCAAAAACAUUUUAAGAAGAUUAUGUUAUUUCAAUAAAUUAGUUUCGAUAAAAACAAAAUAAUUAUUAUUAUAUAAAUAAUUAUUGCACCACCAAACUAAAGCUCAAGUGCCUAAAUUUUGAUAUGUAAAAGUCCCAAUCUAGUGGGUUAGGGCCUAACUUAAUUACAUAAAUUAUAAAAAAUUGGUUAUUUAAAUUCUUUAUAUUAUAUGUUUGUUAGUAAUGUGGGUUAGAAUCUUUCUUGGAUAAAUUUGUAAAAAUUUGAAGUGAAUUAGAAAUCUUGAUUUCUCGUUCAUUUAAUUUUAAUGCUAGAAUUUGCAACUCAUGCACUUUGUAACACCCACCUCGAUCCAAUUGUCAUGUUCGAGCAAUAUAAUACUACAUUCAUUACCAUAGCAACUACAAUUAAUAAUACAUUAAAAUAAUAAUUCAAACAUACAAACAUGUCAUACACAUUUACAAUAUGAUACAUAAUUAAAUUCGAGCUUUAAUCUAACUUACGAAAGCUCAAUUGUUGACCCGAGCAUGAAAUAAGACCAAAUUGCAAAGUUUUUAAAAUUUCAUAUCAGGUAUCGAUACCCCUUGUAAUACCCCAAAAUUUGGGGAUAGAAGUUUUGAGGUUGUGGUUAGGGUCAUUGAAUAGGUCGAGCACUUGAGGGGGUUUUCGCGUUUGAAUGUUAGAAUGAGCUUGUUGGUUUGGUGGUGGUGAGUGUGUUAGUUUACCUUUGGAUUUCAGGUUCAAGUCCUCAUGUGUGUUUUGAGGAAUUAAUUUAUUUUGGUUUUUCUUUUUAAUUUUUAAAGAUUUACUUUUAAAAUUUGAAAGAGGAGGGUUUUUCAAUUUCACGUUCUAUUCCAUUUCCUUUUCCCUAUUUUUUUUGUUGGUGUUCCCUUUGUUAUUUUUUGGUUCUUUCCUCAAAUUCUAGUUCUUUUGAUUUCUUGUUUCUUCCAUUUUACACUCACGUUACGUGUUGUCUGUCAAGACUAAUCGUCCUUGUGUGUUUUGUUUUAUCGGAGGUGAAACGGGUAGGUUUUGUUCAUGAGGUUUAUGAUAGAGUUACUUUUGUUUUUAUUAUUUGUUAAUUGAAGUUCUUAUAGUUUAAGUUGUGUGAAAUUGAGGUUUCCAAAUAGUUUCUUGAGAGCGAAUCGAUUGAUCAUUGGUGCUUGAUAUCGCGUUCUAAGUUGUGUGUUUUGAAAUGGUUUAACUUCGGUAUUGAAUUACGGUGGAAUUUGAUAAUGUCUUGUGUGUUUAUGAAAUUGGUUAUUUGAAGUAUCGUAUUGUUACUGAAUUGCAUGAAAUUCUAUAUGAUUUGCCAUAAUUCUGGUUACCAAGGGUUGGGGAUCGUUUUGACAUCAAAAGCAUGAUUUUCAGGCUAUCUUAGCGUGGUUCCGUGACCAUACGGGUGGCCAUAUAGUCGUGUGCCGCACACGGGCGAUCCACAUGGCCGUCUGCAAUUGGGAAUUUAGGGUUUUCGAUGGUUUUUGGUACCACACGGCCCGGCCACAUGGACAUGUAUCCCUACACGAGCGUGUGAGAUCUCCACACAAUCGUGUCUUUUUUGCUCUUUAUUUUUGGCACUUUUGGACAGUGAGUUACACGGGCUACUCACACGGCCAUGUGACUUGGUCACACGAGUGUUUGUCUCCUCCACAUGGGUGUGUAGCCCUCCACACGGCUGGGGCACACGGCCUUGUGGCCCUAUUUUGCAAAAUUUUUGUUUUGAGUCAUAAACUGUCUGUUUUGUGUUUUUAUGUUAUCAGACCCUUGUUCAAGCCUCGGUAACUGUGUUUUAGAGUCGAUUUAGUUUGGUUUGUGUAUAUAUGUGCAUUUAUGGGCCUUAAUUUUAUUGCACGUUUAUGUGAUGAAUAAGUAUGAGUUUAUUAUUAUUGUCGUAACUGAAUAUUAGAAUAUAAGUGUAAUCAAAUAUGAAUCUGUUCAACUAGAAAUGUUAAUGUCUGUUUUUGGAUGUUGUCUGCGUAAUGUGUACAUUGUUGCAUAACAUGAAAAUUUUGGGAUCUGGUUAUGAAGAGAAGGAAGACAGACUUAGCAGUUUUAACUGCGAUACUUUUAUAUAGUAGUUUACCGUACUAUCUUAUACGUAUAUCAGCUUAGUUGUAUACAUUUACUCAAGUAGCAUAGUUCUACGUUAUGGUGUGUAGGGCAGAUGAACCUAUUAUGGUUCUAUAUGGUGUGCAUGGUGGACGGGCCUACCAUAGCCAUUAUGUGGUGUGCUGGAUGGAAAAAGUGCUGUUUGGUUGGUGGGGUGGGAUUUUGACUUGUGCAUCCAUUCGCAUCUGAAUAUACGUCUAUUUGUCAGAACAUUUGGUUAUUGACAAUAUAGUUAAUGUCAUGUAAUAUGUUCUGAUAUUGUAUUUAACAUACCGAUUGAGAUUUUUGUAAGUGAUAUUUUUAUACAUAUGCUUGUAUUAAGUAUUUAUUGUGUCACUCUGUCUUUUGUCAUAUGUUCAUGUUUCAGACUCACACUGAGCUCGCGUAGCUCAUAUCUAUAGUGUUUUUCAUAAGUCUAUGUGUACUGUGGUACGAAGAUUUUUAAGUUACUUCAAAAUUGUUUAAAAACACUGAUUUGAUUUAUUCCUAACUGUUAUUCAACUUUUUUUUAUAUGUGGUUUCUAAAAACAACUACGUAUUAUUUAAUCUACGAAAAUUACGAAGCAUAAGGGUUUAGCGAAGAAUUUUCUAUGGUUAUAAAUGAGUUUUAUCUCCGCCACUUUGGUUGGCCAAUGUAACUCCCAAAAUUCGGUCUAACUUCUAGGUCAGGCUUUAGGGUGUUACACCCUACUAGGUACAAGAACCAUUUUAAACCUUGAUGUUUAGAAAAAAAAUGAUUUAAAACCAAAUGAAUCGAUACCAGUCCUAAGGUAUCGAUCCUUUACCUCUGUUUUGAUACUAUUUUAAGGUUCGAUGAUUUGAAAAUUUAUAGAAAAAUUACUAAAGCACCGAAUCCCUUUAUAAGGUAUUGAUACCUCAAGGAAAAAUGACAAUUUAUAUUGUAAUAGUCUGUUUUUCAGUAAAAAUGACAAAUUAUAUUGUAAUAGUCUGUUUUUUAGUGCUAUUAGAAACAAUGGUUUCGGGACCACAAUUCUGACGAGAGAGUUCACAGAUAUAGUUAAUUAAAAAAUGAGUCAAAUAUAGUAUAAUAUUGAAUCGUGAUUUAAUAAAUUUUAUUAAUUGGUUAGUUAAUUAAGGUAUAAAUGGUGCAUAUUGAAAGUUAAGUGGUUUUGGAAAUUGAGCUAUUAUGACUUUGUUUUUGUAAAUUGAGCAUGUGAAUAUUUUUAUUAAAUAUUUAUCGAGCUGUUAUAUAGGUGAAUUGAAGUUUGGUCCAAAAAUUUUAGUGAUUGGAUGGUUAAUUAAGGAAAAAUGACUAAAUCAUAAAAAAAAGAAAAAUUAAUCACUAUUAGUUUAUAUGUGUUAAACGAUUACAAAAACAUGAAUUGAGGGCUUUAAAAGGAAAUUUUACCAUAUUAGAUUAUAGUGGAUGAUAUAUGUGGUGGAUUAUAGGUUAAAAUAAUGUUUUAAUGAUACAAAUUAAACUAAAGUAAAAUUUAAUAAUAUUUUAUAAAACAUAGAUCAUUUUCUUUCUUAUUAUUUUCUCUACCACCAAAAUACAAUUGUUAAGAUAGCUUAGAGGUUCUGUCGAUUGUUCUCGUUGCAUUGCAAGUUUAUUUCAUUUUUUUAGUAAAUUUUAUAUUUUUGAUAUCGUUACAAUUAGGUCCAGUUAAUUUGUAUAUCUGUUUUUUAAAUUUUUAAAGAUUUUUAAAGUUGUCAUUGAUAUUAAUUGAAGUUUUUGAAUAUUUAUGGUAGAUUUUGGAGCAUAAAAAUGAAAUAGGAUUAAUUUCUUAAAUAAAUUUUGUUACUUUUGAGUUAGGGAUUAAAUUGUGAAUAUAUUGAAAUUUAUAUGAAAUUUUUGUAAAUUGUGAUAAUAGGUUGGUCCUUUGGCUAAUAAAAAAUCCAUUUCGAUUAAUUUUUAUCACUUUUACAAUUUAAUCCUUUUAUCUUAAUUAAAUAUCAAAUUGACAAAGCUGAGGGACCAAACUUUAAUAGACUUUAAUACUAACAUCGUAAAUAUUAAAUAUUAAUAUUUAUAGACUCGAACAUCAAAUAUGGGGUUCCAAAACCGUAUUUUCUGACACCAUUGACUUUCAGAUCUUUAAACACUUGAUCCACAAUAGACUCAGUAUCAAUGAUGGUAAAUUCAAAAUAUUUAAUGCUAAGAACUUAUAUGUGCAUUUUUUUAAAUAAUUUUCUCAACCCAAAUCCAAUUUCGUUAAAGUUAUAACAACUUUACUGUAAUAGAAUCUAUGAGGAAAUAUAUUUGAUUUCCUUAUUCUAAAAUCUCAUAGUGACUAAUUAAUUUAACUCCAUCUUCAAACUUCAAUUAUUUAAUUACAAUUAAUUAAAUAAUAAUUUGAAGAAUCUUAAUUUGCAUAGAAAACGAGCUCCUUAAGUGCAGAAUGUUAAAGUUCACCACCAAUUCAAUUAGUGGCCUAAAAUCUUGGGCGUAUCAGCAUAUGAAAUAUUCAAAUUAGUUUCAAUAAAGUUAUUGAAUGGUUAGCUAAAAUCAUGGUUUAAAUAUCUGAUUGUGAGUUGUCCUAAUUUUUAGCUAAAGUUGUAGUUUCAGCCUAUAUAAAGGAUGUAAAUCAGUGAAUAAAACGUGUAUUGAGUUCUUGUUUUUCAUUGAGUCUUUGCAUACAAUUCAUAAAGUGUUAUUGAGUGAGUUUCUUUUGGUUUUUUAUACAGCAAAUCUUUCGAUUUAGUUUCAUAGUGUGGUCUCAAUGCUAGGUUCGUAAAGGUAAUCAUGGUUAUUUUUCAGUUGUUGGAGCAAUAAAAAAGCUUAAUAAUCAUAAUUACAACACAUGAACAACAUGUAUGAAGUCUUACUUGAAGGCUCAAGAUGUGUGGGACAUUGUUAGUGGAGAUGAACCUUCACCAGUGCCUCAAGAAGCUAACAACUUAAAGAAGUGGAAGGCCAAUGUAGGCAAGGCUAUGUUUACAAUUAAAACCACUAUAGAGGAAAAAAUAAUAGAGUAUAUCAGAGAUGCUGGCACACCAAAAUAGGCAUGGGACACGUUAGAAGAACUUUUCUCACGGGAAAAUGACACAAGGCUAUAGCUCUUAGAAAAUGAAUUGUUAUCAAUAAAGCAAGGAGAUUUGGCAAUCAACCAGUACUUCACCAAGGUAAAAGCCUUAUGCCGUAAUAUUUUUGAACUUGGUUCUAGUUCCCAUAUUGUGGAUUCUAGAAUAAAAAGAAUCAUCGUUCAUGGAUUGAGAUUAGAGUACAGGAGUUUUGUUGCUACAAUUCAAUGAUGGCCAACACAACAAUUGUUUGUAGAUUUUGAGAAUCUGUUGAUGGGUCAAGAUGCUUUGGCAAAACGAAUGGGUGGAGUCUCAAUCAAAACUGAGGAUGAGACACUUUUUAGUUGAAAGAGCAAAGAAAAGCCCAGGUAUAAUGUUAGAAGCAAACCAAGAAAGAAUGAUGGCAAAUCAAAAAGCCAUCAUGAGAGUUCUUAAUUUGGAGAAACUCAAAAGCAUAACAACUACAACAACCGAUCCAACUAGAGGAAGAAGUUUGAUGGUGAUUGCUAUAAUUACGGUAAAAAGGGUCACAUAGCCAAAGACUAUUGGUCCAAGAAGAAAGCUGUUGAGAGUAAUGCACUGACAUCUGAAUAAGAUAUUCAGAGUGAUGAUGAGUCGGAUGUUGAAGCAUCCUUUGCUAUGGAAGAAGAAGACUUGGCACUCUCAGUAACAACUUCCCAGAAGAUUGACUACAAGAACGACUAGAUUGUUGACUCUGGUUGUUUUAAUCACAUGACUGGUGAUCGAGAAAAGCUUCAAGAUGUUGCAGUGUACAAAGGAAAUCGUGUGGUGGUAACGACUAACAACUUAAGGUUACCUAUCACCCAUGUUGGUAAGACAACUAUCGUACCUCAAUUUAGUUCUGAUCCAAUGUCAAUUCAAGGUGUUUAUCAUGUGCCUGGCAUGAAAAAAAAUUAUUAUCUAUGGCAUAGUUAACAUCUGCAAGCCACCAUGUUUUGAUUAGUCCACUGGGUGUAAAGGUAUUCAAAAAUGUUAAAGUCUCAGGAACACCAACCAUGGAAGGGAAAAGAAUGGAAUCUGUCUAUGUGAUGUCAGUAAAAACUACUUUAUAGACAAAAAAAGAAGAAUGAGACGACAAAUUUGUGGCACGCAAGGCUUGGACAUGUCAGCUAUCACAAGCUGAAAGUUAUGAUGAAGAAGUCAAUACGAAAGAGUCUUUCUCAACUUGAAGUGCGAGAUGAUACUGUUUCUAUAGCAUGUCAAUUCGGUAAGGCACAUCAACUACCAAAUGAAAAAUCUAAGUACAAAGUAAAGGCUCCAUUAGAGCUAGUUUGUUCUAAUGUAUUUGGGCGUGUCAAGCAACCUUUAAUUAGUGGGAUGCACAAUAUGGUGACUUCUAUUGAUGAUUCCUUAAGGUAUGUGUAGGUUUUCUUUAUGAAGAAAAAUCAGAGACAUUUGUUAAGUUUAAAGAAUUUAAAGAAGUAGUUGAAGCAGAGGUUAGUAGAAAAAUUUAAUGCUUACGCACAGAUAAUGAUGGGGAGUACACAUCAGAUGAGAUUUCUGCCUAUGUGAUAAAUAACAAGAUUCAUCACCAAUUCACAUGUGCCAACACACCACAGCAAAACAAAGUUGUUGAGAGGAAGAAUUGACAUCUUGCUGAGACAUGUCGAAGUAUGCUUUAUGCAAAAAAUAUACUUAGAAGGUUUUGGGCAGAGUUUAUGAAGACCAUUGCUCAUGUCAUUAACAAACUUCCAACACCAAAGCUUGGUUUCAUCUCACCAUUUGAGGUACUAUAGGAUACUAAACCUGUUGUUGGUCAUUUUCGAGUGUUUGGGUGUAUUUGCUAUGUAUUUGUUCCAGAUCAUUUAAGGAGUAAGUUCGAUAAGAAAGUAGUCUGGUGUGUCUUCGUUGGAUAUGAUAACCAAAGGAAAGGAUGGUGGUGUUGUGACCCUGUGACUGAUAAAUGCUACACAUCACGCAAGGUAGUGUUUGAUGAAGCUUCUUCUUGGUGGACUCCACAACAAGUGAAGUUGCCAAAUUUUGAAGUAAAAAAAUAUCAACCCCGAAGGAAAAUAGAGGAGCAGUUUCUUGAGAUACAACUAAGUCCUAUAGCUAAUGAAAAAAUUUAAGACAAUGAGUUUGUUGAGACAAAAACAAAUCCUUGGUGAAAUGGUGUUCAUCAGAGGCAGAAGGCUGAAAUCAAUCCAGAGGGUGAAGAAACUUUGCAGCCACAACUUAGAAGAAUAACUAGAUUUCGAAGGCAAAAUCCAAAAUAUGCUAAUGUAGCUGUAGCAGAGCAAAAACCCUUGGUCGAUCCAACAACUUAUGAAGAAACGUCUUAAGGUUCUGAGUGGGUAAAAGCAAUGGAGGAAGAGAUUGCUGCAUUAGAACAAAACCAGACUUGGGAGCUUGUGCCACGUCUAUCAGAUGUGAAACCCAUAUCUUGUAAAUAGGUUUAUAAAAUAAAUUAUCAUCCUGAUAGAUCAGUUGAGAGGUGCAAGACUUGGUUAGUUGCAAGGGGAUUUUCUCAAAAAUAUGGAUUGGACUAUGAAGAGAAGUUUAGUCCGGUGGCAAAGAUUGUUACUGUUCGAGUUCUCUUGGCUCUUGUUGCUAGCAAAGAUUGGAAGUUGUGGUAGAUGGAUGUGAAGAAUGCAUUUUUGCAUGGAGAGCUAGAUCGUGAAAUUUACAUGAAUCAGCCUAUUGGAUUUGAGAGUGGAAGUCAUCCUAGUUAUGUUUGCAAGUUAAAGAAGGCAUUAUAUGGGUUAAAACAAUCGCCGAGAGCAUGGUAUGGUAAGAUUGCUGAAUUUUUAACUCAAGCUGGUUAUGUUAUGGCUCAUGUAGAUUCUAGACUGUUUGUCAAAGUUAGUGAAGGGAAGUUGGCAAUAGUGUUGGUGUAUGUGGACGGUUUGAUAAUCAUUAGAGAUAAUAGUGAAUAAAUCCACUAAGUUAGACAAAACUUGUCAAUCAGCUUUCAGAUGAAGGAGCUUGGCCAACUUAAACACUUCUUGGGGCUAGAAAUUGAUCAUACACAAGAAUGCAUGUUUCUUUGUCAAGAAAAAUAUGCAAAAGAUUUGUUACAGAAAUUUGGAAUGCUCAAUUGCAAGACCAUUACUAUACCAGUGGAACCAAACACCAAGUUUUGUGCUCAUGAAGGGAAAGACUUGGAAGAUAGGUUGAUGUAUCAGCAAUUUGUAGGUAGUCUCAUUUAACUAACUUUAACUCGACUUGAUAUUUCUUAUAUUAUUGGGGCAGCGAGUUAAUAUAAGCAGAAUCCUAAGAAAUAACACUUGGAAGCAGUUCGAUGAGUUCUAAGAUAUGUGAAGGGUACUAUUGAUUAUGGUCUUCUAUAUAAGAAAGAUAAGGUUUGCAAACUAGCUGGUUAUUAUGAUACUGACUAUGUAGGGGAUCACGAUAAAUGUCGAUCAACCACUGGCUAUGUAUUCAAGUUUGGUUUAGGCACAAUUUCUUGGUGUAGUAAAAGACAACCAACUAUAUCUUUGUCAACAACAGAGGAAGAAUAUAGAGCAGCAACUAUGGCAGCCCAAGAAAGCACAUGGUUAGUGCAACUUAUUGAAGAUUUGCACUAAAAAGUUGAUUAUGCAAUACCCCUCUACUGUGACAAUCAGUCAGCUAUCCGUUUAGCAGAAAAUCCUUUGUUUCAUGCAAUGACCAAAUAUGUGGAGGUGCACUACCAUUUUGUUAGGGAGAAGGUGUUACAAGAAGAAGUUGAGUUGUCCUAUGUCAAGACUGAUAACCAAGUUGCAGACUUGUUCACAAAAGGCUUGAGUACAACUAAGUUAGAAAAGUUUUGCUCACAGCUUGGGAUUGUGAAAAGGUUUGGAGUUGGCAUUGAAGGGGAGUGUUAAAGUUCACCACCGACUUAGUUAGUGGCCUAAAAUCUUGGGCAUAUCAACAGAUGAAAUAUUCAACUUAGUUUUAAUAAAGUUGUUGAAUGGUUAGCUAAAACCAUGGUUUAAAUAUCUGAUUAUGAUUUUGCUUCUGAGUUAUCCUAUUUUUUAGCUAAAGUUGUUGUAGUUUCAACCUAUAUAAACGAUGUAAAUCAGUGAAUAAAAAGUGUCUUGAGUUCUUGUUUUUCAUUGAGUCUUUGUAUACAAUUCAUAAAGUGUUAUUGAGUGAGUUUUUUUUUGGUUUUUUCUACAGAAAAUCUUUUGAUUUAGUUUAACACAGAAUUGAUCCUACUUAACUACUAUAUUUGAUGAUAGGUCAAUAUACCAAUUAGGGUCAUAUGUGCAUUUUUGUAUGGGUUUGAUAUAGAGUUGGAGUUUUGUCAAUUUAUUCAAUGCUUUAACAUUUGUUGUAGAUUAUCAAAUAUACACCGUCUCUUUAGAGACUAUUUUAGUAUGGUGGAGAGAUGUAUAUAGUACCUUUGGGCCUUACAUUUAUGUUUUUUCGGUGUGGUGUAAUUUACACUCACAUGGGUUGUCUUGGUGUGGUGGUGGUUAACUGUGUGUCCAGGACCAUUUUUCUAAAGUUUCUUAGGGCGAUAAAGUUUACAUGGAUAUGAGAUACCGAUCGAUGAAAAUGAAUUGAAAUGUUGAGUUGUGAACUUAAAAGUAAAGUUAAUUGUUUUACAUGUAUGUGCAUUUGUAUGAAAGUUAUCUUCUGAUUUGUUUUAAAUGAGGAACACGUUUAACAAGUCACUUUUGAAAUACGCUAUAUGUCAAUUGAUAUGAAGGCACCCAUGCUUAACUUGUUUUGUAUAUUCUUUGUAUGUCUUGUAAAUUCCACUUGAACUUAUUAAGUAUUAUAUGCUUACACAACAUUAUUUUUGUGCCCAAAAUAUCGACUUGUGAAUUCCCGAAACCCUACUCUAGAUGGACAUCAACACUAUCAUCAACGUUAUCAAGAGUUAGAAACUAAAGUACUUAUAGCCAAUGGCACGUGCCUAAGGUGUCUAUAUGCAUCAAGAUGUUGGUUUUAUAUGUUAUUUGGUACUUGAUGACCUAUUCUGUUUUGGUUGAGCUAGGAGGCUCACUUGAUACCAUUACCAUGAGAUAAUGAGCACCCUUUUGCAUUCAUGCUCAUAGCUCUUUAAGCUUUGAUUUUUUGAGCAUAGAACUCAUUUUCAAUGGCUCUAUAUAUGCCUUAAUAUGAUAGCCAUAUUUUAUGAAUGGUUGAUGGAAAAUGAUUUAUUUUGAAUAUAUUUUAUGAAGAGAUUAACCAUAUUUUAUGUUUACCAUGAUUGGUGGUAUUCCUGUAGUUUUUUUUUUAAUGUUUUAAACUUGAUUUUUGAGUCUCUAAAUCUAAGUUUUGAUAUUAAGCUUUUUUUGUGUCAACAUAGGAGAGUUUUAAGUUCAAUUUUUUUCUCCAAUGGUAAGUUUCAAUACCUGAACCUUAUAGUAUUGCAACGAGACAGGAUGUCAAAGUCCAUACUAGCAGAGAGAAGUAUCGGUACUUCUCCCAAGUUGUAGUGAUGUCACAGUGCUUACACCUACAAAAGUGUGUUUUUAAGUUCCAAAAUUGAUUUGAAGGUUCAUGACCUCUUUUAUAGCCAAGAUGAGUUAGGACAUAUCAUAAAUUGUUUUUAAAGCCUCCAAUAGGUCUAAAAGUUAUUCUAAUGGUUUAAAAAAUAAAUAAAAUUUAUUUUUAAAAUUAUUUCAAGGUUUUUCACUUAUACAUGUUUUGGUGGCAUUUCUCAUCCGUACCAGUAGACAAGACGGGUGAGAGGCUAUCCAUUCUAAUUCAUAAUCAUACAAGGGCAAUGAUGGAUGUGUGUACCUUAAGCGCCAUCUCUCUUUCUUAUGCAUUCGUAGCAGAAGCUUAUACUGUCUUUCGUGCUUUGCUUUUUGCCCUGGACAUGGGUUUUCAGAACAUAAAAUUAGAAGGAGAUAGUUUGACUAUUAUUUGAAAGUUAGAAAGUAAUGACUUUGGCCGUUCACUUAUCUGUGCUCCCAUUGUUGAUGGAAAGCGGCUCAUGUCCAGCUUCCAUUCUUGCACCUUUUUCCAUGUUGAUAGAGAAGCUAAUCAAGCAAAUAGUUGUUCCCAUACAUAACUAUCAAACUUUUGCUACAUUGCCACUUUGAUUUGCUUUUGGAAGCUUUCUUUUUAAUAAAUAAUCAUUUAUUCAUUAUAAUGAUAAAAAAUUGCCAUGAGUACAAGGCUGAUAAUUCCAAAUAAACCAUAGAUAUCAAUGCCAAAUGAAAGGGAAAAAAAGUACGACAUAUAUUUUAGACCAUUUGACACGACUAGCUAAUUAUAGUAACUGGCCUAUAUGAACUUAUGCAAUUGGGUACGAAGCUUUCAUGGCAAUACCGCAUAAGCCACCUUUCAUAUUCACAUUCCUUUGGAUCUUCAUAUACCCAUUUUCACCCCAGGUUUCACCCCAUGAAUUCUUAAUAAAAAAAUAGUUUAAACCUUCUUCACUUGUCCCAUAUCCAACAAUAGUGACUGCAUGGGUGAGAGAAUUUUCAUAAUCUCCUUUAAACACUCCACCAUUGUAAAAAUGAAAGUCUCAUCCAUGGCCUUCAAGUGCAACCGAUACCGGUUGAUUCUUGACGGCUUUAAGCAAUGCUUUUUUGUCGUUUUUAGGCACCAUUUGAUAGCCACUGAUGGUGGCAACUUUGUUUAUCUGUGUGUCACAAGUUUCUUGCAUUUGUUGAUAUGGGUAGCUUUCUUCAGAGGUUAUUCCUUGGUUUGGGCUAAUGUAAUCGAAAGCAUUCAUCAUCCAUCCUCCUUUGCAAUCUUGGUUUCCUCCAUUUGUGCUGCAAUCCAAUAGUUGUUGCUCAGAAAAUGAGAUUAAUUUACUAGUUUUGAUUUUGAUUAACCCUUCAACGGCUGCCAUUGCUGAAAAUGCCCAACAACAUCCUGGAAAGUAAACCAAGAAAUAACCCUUUUCUAGUAUUAGUGAAUAAAUAAAUAAAUGCUUGGUGAAACAAUAUAUAUCUAAUUAUUUUAAACUUUUAAAUGAUUUUGUGUGUCAAGUUAACUAAAAACCAAUUCAAUUAUGAAAUUAUUAAAAUAUUUAACAUCAAUUCACUCAAGAAUUUAAGGGUUUAUAUAUAUAUAUCAAGACUGAUCACAUCGACCCUGAAACUUGAUAGGAGUGACAGCAUUUUGGUCCCUCUAAUGAAAGUUUAUCGGAGCGUUUGAGUAGUUUUCAUACAUAAACGAUGUUGAUUCAGACAUUGUGAGAUUGUUUACAUCUUGUAUCCGGUGUGAGUUGCAAUGAAUUCAUCCUGUGUCAUGUCUGCAAAUUUAUUGAGGCCUAACUUAAAACUCCUAUUUCUGCCAUUGUUAAAGUUCUCAAUGUAUUCCAAGUUCUCCUUAAAUAUAUUAAUACAUUUCUCCUUAUAUGUUAAUUUCUAAGUUAACAGUAAGAGCAACUAAAAUAUUUAAUUUCAAAAAGUUGUGUGAUCAAGUAAAAAAAAAAUAGUUUAGUGACCAAAAUAGAAGGAACUAAAUAAUUGGGUGACUAUUCUUAUACUUUAUCCAAUUUGUUAUUAUGCCAAUAAAAAUGGCUAUGAGCACUCCAUUAGUGAUUUAACUAUGGAGUAACUAAAAUAUCAAAUUUUGGUAACCUUAGUGAAAAAUAGAAUAUUUUACACUUAGAUGAUCAAAAUAGAAACAUAUUAAUAGUUGAGUGGCUAGUUGUGUAGUUUCCGUUAAUUAUAUUUAGUAGGCUUUUUCCACUUAAUCUUAGCCGUCUUCUUUUUACCAUUCAUACUCCCCCAAAGAAAAUCCCUCCUUAUCUUGUUGAUCUUUUUAAUUACCGUCGCCAGAGCUUGAAAUAAUAACAUGAAAUAAAUUGGUAAAGAUGACAAACAACAUUGGUUAACACUAAUUUUGCUGCCCAUGAGAGCGUACGACGUUUCCACCCUCGAUAAUUUCUUUUUAAAUCUCUCUACAAUAGGGUCUCAAGUGGCUACUCUCCUCGGAUCUGCUCCCAAUGGAAUCCCCAAGUAAUUGAAAGGCAAAGACCCUAUGUUGCACUUACAUAUUGCUGCCAUCCGAUAUAAUAUUUCUUCAUUUACAUCGAACCCCACUAGGCAAGAUUCUUUGAAAUUGAUACUAAGACCCGAAAAGAUCUCAAAACAUAGUAUAAUAUACUUCGCUUUGCUCACCUCCUUUCCAUCUACUCUUAAGAAUAGUAUAGUGUCGUCCGUGAAUUGUAAAUGAGCAAAAUUCUGUCCAAGAAUAACAUCUUGAAAGCCUUCAAUUAGCCCCAACUCCACAGCUUUAUCCAUUGCCAAAUGAAGCAUUUUCGUCACAAAUAAAUAAGAAUGGGGAUAGCAGAUCUCCUUGACGAAGACCACUGCAAAAUCUAAAUUUGUUUGUGGUUGACCCGUUGAUAAUUACUGUUGUCAUAAUGUUGCCUACAUAAGAGUACGGUGGCCUAGUAAGCAAAGCUAGACACGAAGGACCUAAAUUAAAAUAGAGUCGCCACUAACCAAUUAGGGCAAGGUUGGUAAGUCACCUAUCGUCUAAAAAUCUAGAAUUAAUACUUUAGAAAAAAUCCUAAAAGUCUAGACUCGAUCUCAUCACCAAAUUUUGGGUUCGAGAGUACGGUUACGUAUGGGGAAAGCUAUAGCAUCCCCACAACGCCUAUCCGGGGAUAAUCCUACGGGGUCAUAAAACCUAGAAUUUUUUUUUACUUAAGCUUAUUAAUGUCUUAAUCUCGGCUAAAAUCUUAUGGAAAUUUUAAAUAAAAACUCUAAAGAAAAUGCCUCCGGUUUACUUGUAACUGGAUUAAGAUGUGUUCACCAAACUUAUCUAAUUUGAAACUUAAAUGAGAGAUUUUUAAUUUUAACGGGAACCCUAAAGGAUACCUAAAUAAUUUUAGUAAAAUACCUUUAAUUUCUAAAAUUAAUUCUAUGUUAGAAUUCUAAAAAAACAACCUAGAAAUUAUCAAUAAAAUAAGAGAAAUAUUAAAAUUUGUCUACAACUUAUUUGGUCUUUUAUUAUUAUUUAAAAGAUUUAAUUAAUAACAUUGAACCUAUCAAGAUCUUACGAAAGUAUCCUAUGCCGGGUUUAUGAUCUAUCUUACUUUAAAUUCUUGAUCUAAGAUUUAAGUUCAUCAAAAUCCUAAAAUAAUAUAUCUUAAAUAACAUUUAUUAGCUUACUUAAAAAGUUUCUAAAAUAAAAUACUUAGAAAGACCUACUCCUGAUUUAUAAUUCACCUACAAAAAUCUUUAAUUUUAAUCUUGAAUAAAGUCCUAAAGAAUAUUUACAUAUUAAUUUAAGAUUCUAAAGAGGAAUCCUAUACGAUAUUUAAAACUAGUUUAAAACCCUAAAAAAAAUUCUACAUAUGAUUUAUAAUUUUUCUAGGGUAAAUGGUGGAUAAGAUCUUAAGGACUAACCUAAAUCCAAAUGUAAAAACCUUAUGGUUUCAUUAAAAUGUAACACCUAUUUAACUAACUUCAUGUCAACAAUUAUAGGAUGGAAAAAUGACCUAAAGUUUCCUCUUUUAAAAUGAAUAGUAAUAAAAUAGGAAAAUCAAUUAAAUUGGCUAAAGUUAAUGAAAAGUUAAAACUCUUUCAAAAUGACAAUAAUGAAAAGAAAGAUUAAAUAAAUGAAAUAAAUAAGACCUUAACAUGAUGAUAGUAAUAAUAACAAUAAUGCACCUUAUUCAUAAUACAAUAAAAGAAUCAAGGUAACAUAAACAAAUAAUAUUAAAAUGUAUGUAAGGGGAAUGUGUAAAAAAGUAAAUAUAAAUUAGACAUGAAAAUAAAUAAAAACGAAAUAAGAAUAAAUAAAAAUUAUACAAGGGUGAAUAAAUAUAAAACAUUAAAAUAAAGUGCAUAAUUGUCAUUAAAUAUAUAAGGUAUAAAUGCAACUGAAAGGGAAGAUAUAAGUGUAAAUAAUAUAUUAAAGAUGGAAACAAAAUGACAUAGCUUGAUUUUGAGACUAAAAGAUAAAAAAUGUGGAAGACAAAGGACUGAUGUAGCAACUAAUUUGCUUCUAAUUUUUAAAUUUCAGAUUAAAUUGAAUGUUUGAAAAAUAAAAGGGUUACGGGUGUAAAUAUGCCAAAGAGUGAGGGAGGUGCUGCAAAAAAUAGAGUAUUUUUGUAAACUUAAAAAGUAAGGGGUGACAAUAAAUUACCCAUUUUUGGCACCUAUAAAUGAAAAAAAAAACUAUUCAUUCUUUCAUUUUAACCUCAUUUUUUUCAAAAAAAAAAAAAUCUUCCUCUUUCUCUUCCUCCGUAUAUGUUGGCCAUGGCUCUACCACCGGAGAGCCCAACGGCUCUCCGGCCUCUGGUGGUGGAGUUGCCGCUUACGGUGGUCGGGAUUUUUUUUCAAAAAUAAAGUUUUCUUUUAAAAAAUCACCACUUUUCUUAAAACUCGAAACUUUGUUUCAAAAUAGUUGAAGAAAAUCAAAACUUUGUUUUAAAAAAUUUAAACUUUUCCUUUAAAAUGACUAAAACAUAGAUUUUUAUUUAAAAAAUUUAAACUUUCUCUUUUUUUUUAAAAAAAACCACUAUUUUUCUUAAAGUUCAAAGCUUUUAUUUUGAAAUAGUUGAAAAAAAUAUUUUUUUUAAAAAGUUUAAACUUUCCUUUUAAAAGGACUAAAAAAACAUAUUUUUAUUUUUUAAAAUCUAAACUUUCUUUUAAAAAAAAUUCAAAACAUUUCUCAAGAUCCAACCUUUUUUUAAAAGAAACCUUUAUUUUAAAAAUGGGAGGGAAAAAACGAGAUUUUUAGGGGCUCCUAGGGGCGGAGGACCAAUGGUCCGGUGACGUCCCCUUCAUCGGAACCCAAAACCCGAUCCCUCAUAACAUAUCUAUGGCCAAAAAGGAAGAUAGAAGAAAAAAAAAAGAAAUAGAAUGCUUGUUGUUGUUGUUUUUACCUUUUUUUUAGAACAAAAAUAUGAAAAGCCUUCCCCUUUUUUCAUUUCAUUUCAUAUUUAUAUAUUAUUUUUUAAUCUUGCUUAUUUGUUAAAAAUGAUGAUAAUAAUAAUAUUUAUUAAUAAUAAUAGUAGUAGUGAUGAUAAUAAUAGUUUGGGCCCUUGACAGGCCCAAAAAGGAAAGAAAAAAAAACAGUCUCAAAUUGACCAAAUUUAAGUGGGCUUCGAACGCCCAAGAGAGAACAAAAAUUUAAAUAGGCCUCUAAUUGGACUCGGACAAAAUGGGUGUCUACACCUAUUGCUCUCACUGUAGAUACGCACUCCAUUAUCCAUCCUAUUCAUUUUCACCAAAUCCCAUCUUGAAUAAAACCAACUACAAAAAAUCCCACCGAACACAAUCAUAUGCUUUAGAAAAAUCCAAUUUCAAGAUCAAAUUGCCCCCUUCCAUCUUUCUUCUUAAUCGAGUGGAUUAUUUCCUUUGCUAUUAAAAUUCCAUCAAAUAUUUGUCUUCCUUUGAUGAAAGCACAUUGAGUAUCGCUCACCACCUCUCUGACGACCUCCCUUAUCCUUUGAGACAAUACCUUUGCCACUAUCUUAUACAAAGAGCUCACUAAACAAAUUGGCCUAAAAUAAGAUAUUUCGAUUGAAUUGUUAGUCUUGGGUAUGAGUGUGACAAAUGAUGAAUUAAUAGUCCUCUCAAGCUUUUUGGAUAUAAAAACAUCUAUCAUCAAUAAAGAUCUUCCUUGUAACACCUCAAACCCAGCCUAGAUGUUAUGGUCGUAUCUGGCAAUGUCACACGAUAGUGUUUUUGAAACUUCGUUGUUACGAUGAAAACAUUCCAUGUUAUUAUCUUUAGUAAACCUUUGUUAGAACUUAGGAAGUCGUCUUUAUUCAUUUAAAACAUUUGUUUUGAAACAACCCUCGUUGCGGAAGCUUUAAUAAAAUAGUCUAAGUGAUCAUGCAUUUAGAAAAUACUUUAACUUUUUGAAAUUCGAAUUUCCUGCGACCAACAAGUAUAAAUCCAUAAAGUAAAAUAAAUAAAUAAAAACCCAAAAUUUAAAACCAAAGUCCCAGAGGGUCCUUAAAUUACAACCCAAAUAAUCAAUAAUAAUCAAAUCAUAAAUCGUAAUUGAAAACAAUGAAGUCCAAAAAUUACUGUGGUCACCGCUGAGUCCUCCGGCGCACCGAUCUGUCUAAGUCUGGAAAUUACCUAUGCACAUUAAACAAAAAGGGUGAGUUUACAUAAACUCAGUGUGUAAUCCCGCAGAAACAAAUAAACAAUCAGUAUUCACAAUGCACAGUUGAACCGUCUUGGGCCUAAGCGCUUUUCAGUAUCAAUGACAGUUUGGGCCUUAGCCCAUCUCAAUACAAUGUCAAAAAUGCAGUAGGGCCUUAGCCCAUCACAGUAGCAGCAGUAGUAACAGUUAUACAAUAGCAAAAUCCUACCCAACCAGCCUCUACACAUCAUCUCCGUCCAACCCUACACUCCAUGUGAGGAUAUAAUCAACCCACCUAUCCCUACACUCCAAGUAGUACCGAAUGCGGCACAAAACAGUAGUUUGCAAUUGAGCUGCUAGUAAAUUAGGCUUAAAGCCUUUCAGUACACUUCCUCCAAAUAACAACCCCCAACCCAAUACAAUGUAACAUACCAUGGAUGAUAUGCUAUUAUGCAACUUCAGUACAAAUAUCAUUCAGUCAAUUUUACACAUUUAGGGGACUAAGUAGCACUUAUUGACCUUACAGUAGGUUCACAGUCGACUUGGGCGACCUGUGCAACCUUAGAAACAUUUUGGUAAAAAUGAGCCCACAUGCUCGUGUGGGCCCGCGUGGCCCACUCGGCCCAAAUUGGCCUUGGCUGUGUGAUCCAUUUUUAAUGUAACCCAUGCUAGUUAAAUAUUCAUAUAUGUUUCCACUAUUUACUAAUAUGAUCAUUUAGAGCUGUCUACUUGAGUCAUUGUAACUAAAUUAUCUAUAAUUUGUGCUACAGAAUUCCAAAUUAAGAUCCGCUUGAUGUUUUCAAAACUAGACUCAAAUACCUUUUUACCAUAAAAUUUUUGGAAUUUAUAUCUUAUCAAAUAAGUACAGUAAAAUCUUCAAAGUUAUCCCUAUUUUGCUGUUUGACAACUUUAACCUUUCCUUACUAAAAAUUAUUUGUCUCUUAGUACGAAAUUUCGAUGAUGUUUUUGUUUAUUUCUCUUGAAAGUAGACUCAUUAAGGAUUUAAACAUAUAUAUAAGCCCCUAAUUAUUUUUUUUCCAAAUAUUGAUGAUUUUCCAAAGUCGAAACAGGGGAACCUGAAACCAUUUUGACCUUGUCUCACAAAAUUCAUUAUAUCUCAUAACUUAAAAUUUAUUGCUUACACUAUUUCUUCCAUGAAAAACUAGACUCAAUAAAAUUUAAUUUCAUAUUUUAUUCAACCUCUAACUCAAUUUCCACUAUUUUUGAUGAUUUUUCAAAAUUAGGCUACUGCUGCUGCCCAAAACUAUUUAGUGCAGUAUGUUGAUUUGCAAGUUUAUAACACCCUUAUUUCUUUUCUCUACAAUUUUUCGUAUCAUUUUUUCUUAUUUCUCUUAUUUCUAGACAACAAGCAAUUUUGGCUUUUCGCUGAAGCCCAGUUUUUGCAUUUUGGGUACACACCUGGUAUCGAUUCGCUGUGCAAAGUAACUCGAGCCUUCAGAAACCUAUAUUUGACCAAUAUAUCCCUUAAUUAAUCACUUGAUUCAUCAAUCAACCAAAUAUCCUCAACAUAAAGCCUGCGAAACUAAACCAACGGCGAUUCAAAAACUUACCGCGACGAAUCCGAUAACCAGUAGUCUCCACACACUGGAAUAUCCGCUUAAAACCUUUGAACAACACGUAAACGGGUGUAAAAUGAACACUUUGUUAAUUGCCUAAUCGAAAUACGAUAACUAAGGGGAAAAAUUCCACUUACCAAAACAGAUGAAGUCUAAAGUUGCACCCAAAGAGAUGACUCGCAAAAAAAAAAAUACAGAAACGAAAAGAUAGAGGAAAGAGAAGAAACAAGAUUUGGCCAAAGGGGAACAAAAACCAAAAGUGAACAAGAAGGGAGAAAACACGGCAGAGAAACAAAAGUCUAACGUCAGAAAAUUUGUUGGGAAAAGAAAAAAAUAGAAAAUAGAAAAUUGAUAAGGAGAAAAUCUUAUUUUAAUAACUUCUCCCCAAUUAUCUCCUAAAAACACUCCCUAUUAACCCACUAAAACACAACUACUCAGCAGUCCAGUUUAAUUUGAACUCCACCAUGCCACACACCUCAAACACUACCACUCCGCUUAACCACCAGACCAGCAGCCCCAUUCUGAUAAAUUUUUACCAACAAUCAAAUAAAAGCCUACUAAAUAAGAGUAAGGCCUAAUUCAUUCAAAAUACCAAAAUUUUCCCAAGCAAAGGCUUGAACUUGGGACCUCCCAAACAGUUCCAGAACUCAUAACCACUAAAGCUAAUAGAUAUUUGUGUCAUAUUUUCACAAUAACGAAAUUAGAAAUUUUGGUACAUUACACUCCUUUACUAUCUCCCAACUUUUUCUAAAAAGCACAGGAUAAAACCGUCCGGUCUAGGUGCUUUCGAUUAAUCACAACUCCAUACUGCCUCUUUAAUCUCAUCCAUCAAAAAUGGUGGCUCCAGUUUCAAAGCCUUCUCCUCAUUUAACUUUCUAAAAUUCAGUUCCAAGUCCAUUCUCCACUUCCUCACUGGGCAAUUAAAAUAAUUUUUGAAAAAAUUGUACUGUCUCUCUUUCAUCUCCUUAGGUUCACUACACCAAUGACUCCCUAUUUUCAAUCUAUCUACCAUAUUCCUUUUAGCUUUGAUCUUCACUGCUCUAUGAAAAAGUUGAAUUAGUAUCCCCUUAUUUUAACCAUGUAAUCCUUGAUUUUUGAUGCCAAACUGAUUCUUUAAAUUUAAUUGCUUCCCAAAGUUCAGUAUUCAACUUUUUUAAUUCCUUCAUCUCUAACUUAAUUAGUUCUUUGUGUUCACUAACUUCAUCGAUCUCCUUAAUCCUAUAUUCACUUUCUGUAAUUCUUUUUUCCAAUGCAUUGUCGGCAUCCAAAGGAGAUGGGAGGAGCGGGAGUGGUGAAUAUUAAAUAAAAAAUAGAGCAUUAUUGGCUAAAUGGAGCUAGAGAUUUACGAUCGAGAAAAAUGUGUUGUGGCAAAAAGUUAUCCUAGCGAAGUAUGGUUUGAGCUUGCAACAGUGGUGAUUUAGGACGACUUGUACAAAAGAUAUGUCGAUUGUUUAGAGAGGUAUUGUAGAGAAUUCUAAAGAUGCCAAUAUGUCUAAAAGGGUAGGGAAUGAAGCUUUUUGUUGGCGGGUUGGGAAUGGAAGGAUGACGAUGUUUUGGGUAGACAUAUGGUGCAGUAAUUGUCUACUAAAAUUGGAAUUUCUAAGGUUGUUUCACUUAGCAAGACAAAAAGGAGGUACAGUAGCAGAUUACUCGAGAAAUAAUAGAUUUAACAAAGUAAAGUGGAGCAAACUCUUUACAAGAUCCUUAUUGGAAAGAGAGGAAAAGAUGCUUCGUAGAUUGGAGGAUAAAGUGAGUAGCACGGAGUUAGUUCCUGGGUGGAGGAUCGACUUUGUUGGGUACACAAUAGUAAUGGAUUUAUCAUAAGGAAGUGUGCUACAUUAUUGAUAAUAGAUUGAGGGGGUGAUAUAAAUUUUGCUUUUGACAAAAUAUGGAAAUUAAAGGUACCACCGAAAGUGGGAAGCUUUCUUUGGAUGCUCGCUAUUAAUAGAAUUCCUACAAAGGAAUUUCUUGUCAAAAGAGGGGUGAAACUUCAAAACAUCUCGGUCGGUUGCCCAUGGUUUGAAAGGGUUCCGGAGAGAGCAGAUCAUUUGUUCUUCAAAUGCAAAUUUAUUGAAGGAUUUUGAUAUAAAAUUUUCAAUUGGUGGAAGGCUGAAUGGGAACCGAUAGAAGGAUUUGAUGAAUUAUACUCAUUGUGUUAUAAUAUGAAAUUGGCUAGAAUCUGGAAAAGCUUAUGGUUGAUAUCAAUUUCGGCAGCCUGUUGGACAGUAUGGUUGGCAAGAAAUGGACUUGUCUUUGAAAGAAAGAUGAUGACCAUGGAAACUUUGAUUUUUCAAUCAAAGAUGAGGGCAUUGCUGUGGAUAAGGUCUGUCUAUGAUGAUUUAUUGAUGUAGGAGAGCUCUUGGUGGAUUUGUUCGAACAGGUGCAAGAUAGACACAAUUAAAUCCAUAUCAUCCUCAUCAAUACGGAGCCCUCCUCUACAAGGAUGUUUAAAGUUCAAUGUACGUGGGAUAGCAAAUGAGGAUAGUGUAGGUUGUGGAGGUGUUUUGAGAGAUAUGGACGGUGUUGCAAGAGCUCUAUUUUCAGGUCCUAUUGUAGCAAUUGAUGCUGAUUUGACAUAGGCAGGAGAAGUGCUUUUAGCAUUGGAAGUAUUUAUAUCUCUGGAAUGGAAGAUAAAUGACUCACUGUUUGUAGAAAUUGGUUCUAAAGUGGUGUUCAACUGGUGUGCAAACAAGUCGAUGAGACCAUUGUCACCACAAUCAACAUUUGCAGAUAUUGAGAGGAAAAUUGAUAAGGUAGGUAGUGUUGUAUUUUUUAUGGCAGAAAAGAAAGGAAAUGAAAUAGCCUCAAACUUGGCGAUAGCAGGUAUAAAUCGUGGAGACAUGUUUAAAGCUAGGUGGUGAGCAUUAGAUUUGAUGUCAAACGUCAUUUUUCUAUUGUUGAAAAUGUUACAUUAUGGGACGUUGUAAAUUUGAACUUUUGAAUGUUGUUCUUGUUGUAUUUACAACAGGUCAAUUCGAAUGAAGAGAAACAAAUAUUUAGUAGGCUUUUUAUUAGUCAAUUUGGAUUUUGCUAAUAGAAAACUAAAAUAUUCAUUAAAAAAAUGGUUGGUUGGAAUUUAAUUUAGAUAUUUCUUAAGUUAGGCAAUUAAAAAUUUGACUUGAUUGGCAUUUUAUGUAGAUAUUUCAUAAGUUUCUAAAGUCAAUUUUUAAAAAUUCGCUUACUUCGCAUUUUAUGAUGAUAGUUUAUUCAAAUAUUUUUAAUGAAUAUGAAAUGUGAGUUUUGCUAUUAAAUUUUGGAUUGUGUUAAUAGAAAUUUAAAAAAAAUACGAAAAUUAAAAAUGAUGAAAUUAAAGAGUUUUAAUAGCGAUUUCUCUCUAUGUUGAGAUUCUAGCUCCAAAUGUUGGCAAAUAUUGGAUUGAAAUAAUAUGUGAGAGAUUUGUACGAGUUGUGGAUAUAUUCAUAGUAAAAAAAACUGAAGGUGAUACGAUUUUUGUAAAUGAAUGUGAGUUUCAUAUAAAAAUACGUUAAUAAUUGAGUGAUUAAUUAUCUAAUUUAUCUUAAUUAUUGUUGACAAACAUGAGGAAUGAAUUAUUUUUAUUUAAGAAAUUAUACUCAUCAAAUUCAAAUCACCAUUUAGUUUAAAAUUUUAAAAUAUUUUUUUAAUAAAAGAAAAGGAAUUAUCAAAUAGUUGUUUCUAUACAUAACUAUCAAAAUUUUUGGAAGCUUUUUUUUUAAUAAAUAAUCAUUUAUUCAUUAUAUAGAUAAAAGGUUGGCAAGAGUGCAGGACUCAUAGUUCCAAACAAACCACAAACAUCAACACCAAAUGAAAGGAAGAAAAACACGAGUACAACAUAUAUCUUAGACCAUUUGACACGGCUAACUAAUUGCAGUAAUAUGAACUUAUGCAAUUGGAUACGAAGCUUUCAUGGCGAUACCACAUAAGCCACCUUGCGUUUCCACAUUCCUUUGAAUCCUCAUAUACCCAUUUUCACCCCAAGUUUCUCCCCAUGAAUUCUUAAUCAGCCAAUAGUUUAAACCUUCUUCACUUGUCCCAUAUCCAACAAUGGUGGCAGCAUGGGUGAGAGAAUUUCCACAAUCUCCAGUAAACACUCCACCACUGUAUAACCGAAAGUCUCGUCCAGUGCCUUCAAGUGCAACCGAGACCGGUUGAUUCGCGGCGGCCUUAAGCAAUGCUUCUUCGUCGUUUUUAGGCACCAUUUGAUAGCCACUGAUGGUGGCAACUUCGUUUAUCUGUGUGUCGCAAGUUUCUUGCAUUUCUUUAUAUGGGUAGCUUUCUUCAGAGGUUAUUCCUUGGUUUUGGCUAAUGUAAUCGAAAGCAUUCAUCAUCCAUCCUCCUUCGCAACCUUGGUUUCCUCCAUUUCUGCUGCAAUCCAACAGUUGUUGCUCAGAUAAUGGGAUUAAUUUACCAGUUUUGAUUUUGAUUAACCCUUCAACGGCUGCCACUGCUGAAAAUGCCCAACAACAUCCUGCAAAGUAAACCAACAAAUAACCCUUUUCAAGUAUUAGUGAAUAAAUAAAUGCUUGGGGGAGCCAUAUAUAUAAUUAUUUUUAAAAUUUUAAUUAAUUUUAGUGUUACGUAUCAACUGAAAACUAACUCAGUUGUGAAAUUAUUAAAAUACUCUAGUAACACUAAUUUAAUUAUAUGUAUUAUCGAGACUUACCACAUUUACCCUGAUUCUUAAUAUGAGUAACGGCAUUUUGGUCCCUCCAAUCGAAGUUUGUCGGAGCGUUUAAGUAGUUUUCAUACAUAAACGAUGUUGAUUCGAACAAUGUGGAAUUGCUCGGCAUCUUGUAUCCAGUGUGAGUUGCAAUGAAUUCAUCCUGUGUCAUGUCUGCAAAUUCAUUGAGGCCUAACUUAAAACUCCUAUUUCCGCCAUUGUUGAAGCUCUCAAUAUAUUCCAAGUUGUCUUUGAAUAUAUUAAGACGCUUCUCCUUCUCUAAUUUGCUCUCAUAUUUUCGACUGAAAUCAACCAUCCAUUGCUCAUGUUUGUCAACAAUGGUGCUUUCAAGAAUUGUUCGACACAUGGCAAGAGAUACCAAUGUCCCAAGAAUUAAAAACAAAAACGCAUGGAUUAAACUGAUUUUUUUUUUUUGGCAAUACAAGCAGAGAUACUUCACUAAUUUAAGGGUUUUUUCUUUGCUAAUUG
rnacentral:lncRNA from 1 species